rnacentral:lncRNA from 1 species
AACAGAGACUUAUUCGAAAACAUAUUACACACACAUGUACGGUACGACAUGGUGUUGUACGGAAUAUUAGAUAGAAAGGAACAACACCAGACGAUGGAUAUGGUAGAUUUGAGUUAUGAGAAUCGAUCGAUAGAUCAGCAAUGUCUGGUGCAGUAGCAACGACGACGGAAACCACGGCAUUUACCUCCGCCAAAACCUUCGUUGUGACACACGUUUCCGCAGUUUGUUGAGCUCACACAUGUACCCUUGAACCUAUGGCUCUUCGACUCACACGUGCGUGCCUCCACUGUGACUGGACCCAUCCCUACACACAGUUUAGACCAUAGCUUAGUUUCAUCUUCUCAUGCAUGGUGCGUUAUUCAUCUUAAGAGUUAACGGAAGAACGAGUCUUUUUGCUAAACAUAUACAACCAAAGCCCACAGGCCACAGCCAGUUAUAGUCAGAAUUGAAGGGGAGAAUGAGAAGCCACGAAAAACCAACUUUCUCUACGAAGAUUCGCAAGAGCAGUCGCUAGAAACAUAUAGAUCCGUAAAAAUGACAAUGAUAUACUAUUAUGUAGAUUCAUAUAUUUUCAUGCAUAUGUGCAUAGUUAGAUAUAAAGACUGGUUAGGAGAGUAAUGAACCUGUGGCAACGAAUAUCAUGAACAAGAGGAGAACAGCUGAGAUCAAACGCAUAGAGAGCUUCAUUUUGAGAGAGAGAAAGAAACUUUCAGGGAGAGAGAGAGUCGGAAGGAAACAAGUGUUAGGUGUGUAGGGAGCUAACGAGGAAGAUGGCACUAUAUAAAGAGACUCAAGUGACAAGUGGUAUAAGAACGAUCGAGAUUAUUGAUUAUUUUAUUACAUAAUUGAGUAUUUUAAUAUUUAAUAGAUUUUUGAAAUUUAAAUCUUUUUGAACCAUGAUGAAAAGUUUUGAUAUUCGCUAUCGAUUAUUGCAAGUGUGGCGUGGCGACGAUUUGCUUUACCGACACUGUAAAUUGAUCCUUAUUGGAAGUGACACGACAAGCAGAGAGAUCGUAUAGCUUCGACAAGUCAUUCUCGAAAUUUAUAAAACAAACUUUCUUUUUCAGAAUUUUAGAAACGUUAAAGCGUAUAGACAAGUAAAAUAAUUGAUUUGUCAGAUACUGUGGAGUCCACACAAUGCGAUAGUGGCCACGUGAAAAUGUAAGUAAACCAAGUGACGUUGUAUUUAUUGUAUUUAUCGCACCGGAAAAAGGGUUCGUAUAAAACGUGAAAUUUGAUAUUUUCCCUACUCUGUUUAGCAAAAAACCCAUUUACAGGAAAAAGGAAAAACCAACCCAUUUACAGGAUUUAAGCAAAUUAGUUUAUUCAUGCUACUUCGAUCCGGAUAUUUAUAAUUUUAUUUUAAUAUGCAAUAUCUAUGAAAUGAAAUAAAUUGUAAAUAAUUAUUAUUUUAGAACAAAUAUCCAUUUCGAUCUUUUAUAUACAUAUAUAUAAUAUUUAAAUAAUUAUAUACCACAAGAUAUCUUCCAGGAAAAAGAUAAUGUUAAACUUUGAUAAUAUAGAUAUGGCCAUUGUGGAAGUUACCAAUUUAUCCCAACAGUUGGUUCGUUGGUAUUUUACUGAUGGCUCUGGAAAAAAAUUAUUCGAGAUAUGGCUGGUAUAGUAUUUCGGUGGGAUUUGACGGAUUUAUGGGGGCAAAAAAUGCAUGUCAAAGUUUCAUUUGGCUAUGAAAAUCAUAAAUAACUUACAACAUCUCUAUGUAAUUUUUGCAACAGACUGUUCUUACAUGAUAAAGAGGUUUCGGAACCAGAAAAAUUAUAUGCAUUGCAAUUUACUUGGAAGAUAUACGCAUAUUGGAGAGAAGUUUUAGUCACUCGGAGCUUCUCUAUCUACAAGAAUACAUAAUAAACGGAUAGACAACUUGGUACGCAAUGUUUGAAAGCAAUUGCCCUAUGUCAUUUACAUUGAAUCAGAAGUAAUAGUUCAUAAAAUCUUAAUUGAGUUUGUUAAGUUGAUGUCAAACAAGAAAAUAUUCAUAUAAUACAAAUUCACUUGAUAUGUAACACCAUAAAACUAAAAGUAAAAGUAGAGAUGAAAUUCAUUUAGAAGAAAAAAAGGCAACAAAAUGUUUUGUGUAUAUUUAUAUAAAAUUUAUGUAUCAUUAUUAAUUUAUAAUUUUACUAAGAUUAUAUAUUUAUCUAAUUUUUUAAAUAUUAUAGAGUUUUUACUAUAUGUAGUAGUUAUGUGAACUCUAAUUCGGGAUUACUUUACUUAUACACAAAAUAUGUAGAAAUAUUUCCCAAAAAAAAUAUAGAAAUUUAUAAAUGUAGAAAUAAAAGAAAUGCAUUUGUUAACCAAAAAAAGAAUGAAAUGCAUUUAGCUAAAUUUAAAGAUGGUAAUGCACUGUUUUUCAUAUGGGAAGUGGCAGACAAAAAGUGAAAAUUUAUAAAUUAAAAAAGUGGCAGGCAAAAAGUACUUAAGUUAUCGGUCCUCUUUAUGUUUUUCACUGUAAAAUUCCAACAUUUGUGAGUAACAUGAAAAGUGAAAAAUCAAAUAACGCAUCAAGAGUACUUCAAAGUUGUACUUAGUUCGCUCAAACAAAGAAUCACACUGAAUGGUGGUGGCUUCUCAGCUUUUUACAAAGAAUUCAAUCCUCUCGAGUAUGCUGCUCUUGCAGCACCGUGAUACUGAAGUAUAGUAAACAAUGUACACCAUUUUCUAAGUUUUCUCUCUCAAUUUUCCAGGACAGAGGCAUGGCAUACAACCAAAUGAGGACUAGGGUUGUUGUUCAAGUGAUUUUGCCUGAUAAUAAGAGCAACACCAGUCUCUGUUAUAAGAUAAGAUACAAAGACCACUUGUAAAUGUAAACCCACAACACAAGUGCACAUGAAUGGUCUUUCUAAGACCCAUCUAAUCGGCUAGAAUGGCUACAAGAAGUUGAAAAGGUCGGUUACAAAAUAUUAUAUAUAUAUAUAUAUAUCAAAUAAAAAUCUAUCUAUCUUAUUAUAGUGGAAGUACCAUUUACAUAUGUUUGGAAACAUGGAUAAGGAUAGUAAUAUAAAAAAAAAUAAAAAGUUGUUUGAAAAUACUGAUAGCAAUGUAUUAAUUUAAAAUUUUAUAAUUAACUUCCUAAAUCUACAUACUAUACGAAUGAGUCUAUAUAAAAAAUCAAACAUACACGAAUGGGCAUGUACUUUUGUAAUAUCUUUAGACAUGUUUUUGUGUUGGUCAAAUGCUAAUCAAACAAGAAAUAUGACAUACAUAUAAAAUGUAAACGUGAGAUUAGAGAUCAAACCAAGUCAUACACACCCAAAACCAUAACUGGUCAUAAGAAUGCAAUUUCAUACAAACCCAAAACCAUAUAAAUUCACUAGAGUUAUGUAUAAACCACAUAUAGAUGUUUAAAAAAACAGAUAUACAAUACUAGCAGAAUUACCCAACAUACAAAUCUUAAUUUUUUAUGGACUAUCAAACCGGUCAUUGUUAUAUUGAUUAUUCAACUGAUCAAAUAAUUUUAAAUGCCAUUGAUUUUACCGUUCACCUUAAAAUUCUUACUACAAUGUUUAUGGCUCACAACAUUUUACGAACGUCCCUAUUACAUGACACAAUGAUGAAAUACAUAGUUUAAACAAUAAACAAAAGUAGUUAAGAUGAAAUCGUUAAAUUUUUCGUUUUCUAAAGUUUGUAUAUAUUGUAAAACAUGCACCCGUGCGAAGAUCUAGUCAUUCCUUACAUAUCAUAACUAGUAGAAUAUAUAUACCUCUUUCAAAUCACUUCUUACACAAGAUAAAAAUAAAAACCAAAUUAACUGGUACAACUUGUGUGUAGGCUGAAAAUCAGAAUCCUACACUUUCUAGGCUUCAUCAAUAUCAGUAUGUGAUCAUCACAAAAUCAACCACAAAAGCAAUUGACUUUAGUUAGCAAGACUUACAUUUAAACCAAUCAAAAUCAACUAUUGCAUCUAAUAGAAUCCCAUUUUCCCAAAUCAAGCAGAGGAGUUCAGAAAAGUUGUAUGCAUUACCUUCAAAACCCAGUAAAAAGAAGUUUCAUUUCAUCAAAUUCGAGCAAACCCUCCUUGGGAGAUAAAAGAUUGAGAAGAGUAAUAAUACUUGUAUGAUAAUCAUCACAGUAUAAGUUUCCACUUCAUAGUACCUAUCAACAAGUAGUAACCCUAUAAGAGCUACCAGGAGCGAAUCUAGAUAUUUUUGUGUGUGGGUGCAUAACUUCAAAAUAAAAAUACAAGCAUAAUGAGAAUCAAAUUUGACUUUUUGUGGGUGCACGUAUGAAUAUUUUACCAUUAUAUCUGCAGAAAUGUUAAGAUUUCACAUACAAAAUCAUAAAAAUAUUUAUUACAGAGAAUGCACAUGUCCCCAUAAUCUACACUGUGGCUUCGCCCCUGAGAACUACCAUAAAGAUCCUAAUGAAGGUCAGCUGAGAUUUUGCACACUCGUGCAGUGCUUCUCAACCACAUCCUCAUUUUCACUCACUUUCCUAGUCUUCAACCACAAAUCUUCCACCAACUCGUACGCCUCGCAUCAUAACUUUUGCAUCUUCCUCAUCAUUAGCAUUGGGCAUUCUGAUUUUUGGUUCGAUUAAUUCAGUUUUUCUAAAAGUAUAGAAUUCGUUUGGUUAUUUAUAAAAUUCAGUUUGAGUUUGAUUCAGUUAUUUCGAUUUUUCGGUUUAGGUAACAAAAUUGAAAACAAGCUAAUAUCCUGAGAAUAAAAGUGACGGAUUAGAGUCAUCUCCCGAGUCUAUAGCCAUUUAAAAGAAUGCUGCAACCAUUGCAUUUCAUUAUGGAUCCUGUAUGGCAAAUUCAGAAAAGAAAGGAAAAUCAUAUGAAACUGAAACCCCUAGAAAAUAACAAUAAAGUAAUUAUUUCAUUCAAUUGAAGAAGAAAGAGAGGAGAUGCGACAUUUGUUUGUUCGAAUCAUGUUUCUAUGUACUUUUCAAAUGGACUGUAACAAUUCUUUAUAUUUGUCCUAAUUUAUAUAUGAGCCAGCAUCAAUUUAUAUAAAAAGGCCCAAUAGCCUAGUCUAGGAUACGAAAAAGACUAGUCGAUGGCUCGAUGGUGGGAAAGCUUUUUCCAUUUUCAUACAAGUUUUGUUUUAAACAUAUCAGUUUCUAGAAAAUAAAACGAAGAUUUAAACAGUUGGGCUAAUCCUAAAUAAUCGGGCCUUGGCUGUAUGUUGUAUCUUUUUAUUCCUUGGCAACCAGCCCACAAAAAGAAAAAGAAAUUGAAAGAUAUUAGAUCCUCUUUUUUUUUUUAACAACAAUUCACAAUAGAGCCUUGUCGUGUUUUCUUUUUGUUCAAAAAAAGUGUGUACAAAUGUAAUAUUCGAGAAUCUUUGUAAAAAAGGCUAAAGUAUAAGUAAUCUUAAUAUUGACUGGAUAUAAUAUGCAAGCUACCUCCCCAUACAAAACUUUUCAUAUAUACCUCUACUAAAACCAUAAGUUUACAUCGUAGGAAUAAACAAAAAAGUUUACACAUCCAGUUAAUAAAUAAUAAAACUGUAGUUAUAAAGUGAAUUAGAAAUACUUGUAUAUAUUUGAAAUACAAAUAUUUGAGCCGUAGAUGAAAGAAUCUAAAACCACCAAAUGAUAGAAGCCAGAAGGGAUAUGAAACACAUUUGAAGCAAACACUUACUUCCAUUCCGAGAUGAAGACACUCCUCCAUGAACUUAAACCAUGUGUAGACAUAGCUAAAAGCCUAAAACAAAAGCAACAUAUUAAUUUUCAUACAAAAAUCUAAAAUUCUUUUGUUUAAUUUGUCCAUAUGACAUGCCCUGUUAUUGGGAUAUGUAAAGAUCCCAUAUACUAAGAUUGAGUCAUAUUUUUAUUAUGUAAACUUUCCUAUAAACUCGAAAUUGCAUUGUAUAUAUACGAUCACCUGUUCAAAAAUACAACUCCCAAGAUUGUAUGAUCGGCAAUUAAGCGUUGAUUGAAGAACCGUGGUGAUUUGCUCUAAUUUGCUACAAAAUCGGAUCUAAACAAAAACAAUUCACUUUUCUAAAUUGUUAAGUUUAAAAUCAUUGUUAGGUUUAAACAUAGUAAAAAAAGAAAGUGAAAUGCUGUGGGAAAUGAAGAUACAUCAUUCUCUUUUGGAACCUAUGACCUGGAAAACUGUUAAACACCCACAAAUCACUAGACUACGCUAUGUGUUUUAAGGUCUUUAUACAUUUUUUUUGUCAACAAGGUCUUUAUACAUUUAAUAUAUACUAUAAAAAUAGACAAAAUUAUUGGGUCCGAUUGGUAAUGGCUGUAGCUUUAAAUAUUUUGCUGUAGAAAAAAAUCUGUAGACUUUUUGCUGUGGCUUUAGAUUUUAUUGCUGUAGAAUUUUAUUGAAGCACUAAAAAAUUGCUUUGGAUAUUUGGCUCUGCAGAGCACUUGUACAGCUGUAGGAUAUUUUAAGAGCUGUAGUUUCAAAAAAGAAUUUAAAGCUUGAUUGCUCUGAAUUUGGUGCUGUGGAAAUAAAUAGAGCUGUGGACAGCACCUACAGCAACUACCAAUCACCCCCAUUAUUAUUUUUUUGACCGAAGGCAUUCUACAGACAAAAUUAGUCUCCUGAUGAUUCCGAUUAAACUCCACUUUUUACAACUGGCUAAGUUCCGAACAAUCUGAACACAUAUUUGUGUGUGUGUGUAUAUAUAUAUAUAUUAAAUUAUAAAACAUUUUUUAGAUAAAAGAAAAUUUUAGUACAACAAAACCUAAUCAGUUAAAUGAAGAGAAAACGAGGGUUUUGUCUUAAAGCCCACCAGAAAGAUACGAAUGAGAAAAAUUAGGUCCCCACACCACACCCCGCAUGUGGACACAUUUCACCAAUUUAACAGUGACACCCAAACCGUAACCAUCCAUCUUCUUAAUUGUAAAAACAGUUUUUUUUUUUUCUAAAGUUUAUUUAUUAAAAUAAACUAUGACAGAUAAGGACCUCAGCAACACAAAAAAUAAAUCAAAACUAGGUCUCGUCGCUCUGCCGCAAGAAAGAAAGAAAGAACAGCCGCAAGUUCUGUAUUUUCCGGUGACCGGCGCGUGGUGGCUUUGUUUGCACCACCGCCGGUCUAGUUAGCCUUGCCGUCUCUAUCCUUUGUAGAUCUGCUAGUUAAGUGUUGUUUUGGGAUGCGAAUCUGGGUCUGCGUUUGGUGACGAAGCGGACAGUCCGUGUCUCUUCGAGGUCUCGUCGGGACUCGGUGGUGGGGCGGGUGGAGACAGUCCGUGUGGUUGGUUGUGCGGAGGUCUCCGCUAGGCUUAAGCUUCGUUUCCUCUUCUCUCUUGUUUUCAUCUUCUCCUCUUUGUCUCUCAGCAAAUCUGGAUUACUAGGGUUUUCAUUUCGUUUUAGAUCUCUAGAUCUUGAUUUGUCGCUCUGGUUUCAAUCCAUCUCAGAUGAUGUUGUUUUGGGUUAACCUUGUCUGUGUGCUUCAGAUGGGUUUGUGCUUCAUCCUUUAUCCCAUCUGAUGUUUGUUAUUUGACAUAGAGGUUGAAUCCGAGGCAUCCUUGUUGGUUUGUAGUGUUUGUGUUCUGUCUGGUUUCAUCAACGGUAUAAGUGGUGGUGUGAUGGUGGCAGUUGUGUGUGAUGAGCAGAGCAUGCCUUUUAUUCUUCAGAAGUUGCAGGGUUCUUUUCACCUUUCCAUCUCUCAGGCAUGAAGGAGUCCUUCUCGCGGCCUUAUAAUAAGUGUGGUUUCCGGAUGUUCUCAUGAUUCUCUCGUUCUUCGGUGGCUUCGGUGAAGCAAUUUAAUGAAGUUGAGGGUGUAGGCUUUCCGAUGAAGGUUCGCUUGAGGAGGGGACUUUAGUUUCGGGUGGUUGUCUCUUCUAUAUUUGGAGUUUGUUGCAAGGCGUUUUGGCUCUAGUUUGGUACCGUGAACGGAUGGUUCAGGUUUGUUUGGUCCGGUGUUGUUGUGUUGGCCACUACUCCGCUUACUCUCUCUUGUGCUUGGUUGGUUCUUGGCAAGAGUGCCGGCUGUUUCUAUGACUGGACGACUUAUUUCUAUUAGCCUCUUCAAAGUUUGUCUUCGGUUUUGGUUAUAAGAGUGCAGUCUCAUCUUGUGUCUGCCCUAGUUGUUGUAUGUGUUGCCUUUUGUUUGGGUUUGAGAAUCCCGUUUGUGGGCUAUGUUUCCGGGGAUAGUAAUGUGUUUCCGCCGGCUUUUGGUUAUCAUGCUUGUAUGUUCUCAGUUUUAUCAAUCAAUCAAAUUCAGAAGGGAAAAAAAAAAAAAGGACCUCAGCAACAUACUUUUCAAAAUCAUAUAUAUGACAUUAAAAAGAAAGUAGAAAACACAAAACCGGAGAGAGAGAGAGAGAGAGAGAAAGAGGUAGGGCUUUGUGUUAUAUACCAUACAAUAUACAUAUAUAUAUAUAUAUAUAUAUAUAUUAGAAUAGUGUCUUCUUCUUCAUCAUCUUCUUUACCAUCAUCAUCAUGCAUGCAUCUUCUUCUUGGUCCUUUCUUUAGUUCCGAUUUAUAGCUUUUUGACUAUUUUUCCUUCUUCUUCUUGGUUGCUUUCUCUUGAUCUCAGGUACCUAAAAAAAUCACAACUUACAAAUCUCUCUUCACUCUUUCAAAAGCUUACAAACAAAAAUAAACAUAAACAUAAACCCUUGAUUUGUUUUUCUUUGUUCCCUUUAUGUCUUUUAGCGAAUUGUAUUUUUUAAAUUCUUCAUGUCGUCAAUCUAUAUGGACUCUUCCUGUUCUUAAUUACUCUCUUCUUAUUCUUCCCAAAAGAUAAUUUGAUUUCUUUCACAAUUUUUUAACUCUAUUGUAUGGAUUAGUUGUAGAUUAUUACGUUCUUCCACGCAAAGAGGAAGAUCUAAAGAUGUCAUCCUCAUCAUAUAAUACAAGCGUUGUUCCUUCAUCAUCCUCGACUCAGCCGUUCUUCAUCACCGGCUCCAGCGCCGGAGAUAACGCCUUUGACCGGAAAGAUACUUUUAUGUCAAUGGUUCAACAACCUAACUCCUCGGCUCCACAACCCAAGAAACGAAGAAACCAACCGGGAAACCCAAGCAAGUACCUCUUAUUGACAUACAUAUAUAUACAUCACUGAGUUUUAAUAGAUAAUUAGAAGAACUAAUAAACAGAAACCCUAAUCAUUUAUAUUCUUGUAUCAAGAUUUCAUUAUCAUAAACCUUUUAGGAAAAGAAAGAAAAAAAAUUCAUUAUAUUGCUAGCGUUAGAUCAAAUUAUAUUAUGAGUGUGUGUGUGUGAUUUGGUUUACUUCUGUUUGUAAUUGUGUGUCUUAUUGGCUUGAUGUAAUCCUCAUAUAUUAACAUCUUGAAUCCGGAUUGGUGAUUAAGCUUAAUUGAUCAAACAGAUCCUGAUGCGGAAGUGGUAGCGUUGUCUCCAACGACACUAAUGGCUACAAACAGAUUCAUAUGCGAUGUAUGCAAGAAAGGGUUUCAAAGAGAACAAAAUCUACAGCUUCACCGAAGAGGACACAAUCUUCCAUGGAAGCUCAAACAGAAGUCAACCAAAGAAGUGAAGAGGAAAGUGUAUAUUUGUCCGGAACCCACGUGCGUCCACCAUGACCCCGCACGUGCUCUCGGAGACCUCACCGGAGUCAAGAAGCAUUACUAUCGUAAACACGGAGAAAAGAAGUGGAAAUGCGACAAAUGUUCUAAGCGUUAUGCGGUUCAAUCGGAUUGGAAAGCUCACUCUAAGACUUGUGGUACUAAAGAGUAUCGAUGUGACUGUGUGGUACCAUCUUCUCUAGGUACGUAACUGAUCUCCAUCCAUUUCAUUUAAAUAAUUUGUCUGUAUAUGGGCUAAGUGAUGAAACGUAUAAUAUAUAUACGUGUGUGUAGUAUCUAGAUAUACCCUCUUAUCUAGGUAAAGGAUAUGACAGUGGACCAUCAUUUCUUUUGUAUUAUACUGAUACUAUUCUAAGUAAAAAGAUGCAUUCAACACUGCAUGAAAACUUAGCUUAUAUACUAAUUUAAAUGAAAAUAUAUACCAACUAUAUAAAAUAUCAUCUGUAACUGAAAUCUUAUAUAUUCAGCCACGUAAUUUGAACCUCGAGUACACCGUCCAUAAAAUGUUUAAAGUGACUACGUACAUAGAAUCUAUCACUGAUUCACAGUAUUUUUUUUUUGGUUAUUGUUUUCUGGGUCAACUAUUUGUUUGGUUACUGAUGAGUAGUGAAUAGAGAAAGACAGUGAAGAGAAAGUAAGAAAGUUUAAAAUAUGCUAAAUUUGGUCAGAUGUAUGAGUUGGAUCUGUUUUUCCAUUUCCCACUUUUGUUUUCUUCUUCUUCACUUUGCAGGUUCCCCUUUUUAUGAGACUCCUCUUCUUUUGUGGACCCUGUCUUAUCUCUUUCUCUCUCUAGACAUAUACAUACAUAUAUAUUUGGUAAGAGUGCGUUACUAAUUUCAAUUUCAUCACAGUGUUCUGGUGAAGACUUUAAUGCCGUUCUAGGGUUUCUUUCUUUAUUUUCAUGGUUUGUGUUAAAUACGUUGUCGUAGAAUGUCACUGACUUGUAUAACAUUCCUGGGGUUUGCAUUAAAUGAGAAGCUCUUUCAUUAAAGUAGCAAUUGACUCGAGCUAUAAAUUCUUCUAUCAUUCUUUCCUAAUGGUAGCCACAAUAACUAUAGCAUUCAUUAAGAUGAUUCACGUCAAUAUAUAUAUAUUGCAAAAUCAUAUAUAUGCCAAUAAUUUUACAUCCAUCAUUUUCUUGUUUACAUAUUUGUGUGAAUUUUUUUUGCUAAGUAUAUUUGUAUGAAUUUUGGGUAUUUAUUUUGCAGACGCGAUAGUUACAUUACACACAGGGCUUUCUGUGAUGCAUUGAUACAAGAAACCGCUAGAAACCCUACCGUGAGCUUCACGUCAAUGACAGCUGCUAGCAGUGGCGCCGGCUUCCGUGGAUUUCAUGGGAGACUCGAGGGUGGCAACGCUCUCUCCCACCACCAUUUGAGUGACCAUCCUAACUCCGGAUUUUCGUCUUUCGGGGGUUACAAUCUAAACAUUGCAUCUUCUGAAAAUAGCAGAGACUUUGCUCCGCAAACGUCAAACCCUAACUUCUUAGUACAGAGCCAAGGAAUGCUGACUCAACCGAACAACAACAACAACGAUCAGAGUUUCAUGAACCAACAAGGUCUGAUCCAGUUUGAUCCAGUCAACAACAUAAACCUCAAGAGUAGCACCACCAACAACAGCUUCUUCAAUCUCGGAUUCUUCCAAGAAAACACCAAGAACUCAGAGACGGCUAUUCCUUCUCUAUAUAGCACGGACUCUCUUGUUCAUCACCGUGAAGAAAGCUUGAACGCGGGUUCUAACGUGUCAGCCACGGCACUGCUUCAGAAAGCUACUCAGUUGGGUUCAAUCACAAGCAACGAUCCUUCUGCUUUGUUCAGAGGCUUAGCUUCUUCGUCUAACUCGUCAAGCGUGGUUGUUAAUGACUUUGGAGGAGGGCAGAUUAUGGGCAACGAUAAUAACGGUAACCUUCAAGGUCUAAUGAACUCACUAGUGGCCGUAAAUGGCGGUGGUGCCGGCGGAUCCGGUGGCAAUAUCUUCAACGUGGACUUUGGAAACAAUAAUGUAAACAUGAGCGGCUCGGACAACUUAACUUUAGAUUUUCUUGGAGUUGGAGGAAUGGUGAGAAAUGUAAAUCGCGGAGGGGCUGGUCGCGGCCGUGUUCGUGGAGACGUUUCUUUGAAUGGUGAACUAAAGUUUCCGGAGUAAAAUCAUCCGUUUGUAAGAACUUAAUAAUGCCUUAUUAUUACAGACUUUAUCAUUAGGUGAUAACUUUGCUACCGUCGUUUGUUGUUUUCGUAAUCUAUAUAGUAUAUAUUAUUAGAUCUUUCUGAACUCUUUAUGUAUGAUUUUGAUUGGACUCUGUCUUUGUUUAGUUGUUAUAUAAUAGAAAAAAGGAUGUAAAUUUCGAGGGUUAACGGAAUAGAUAGAGUUAUGGGGCAAAAUGGUGAAAGGUUAGUAGCUUCAAACGAAACUUUUAAUAUGUUAGAAUGUAAAAAACAUAUAGUAAGGCCUGGGCAUUCGGGGUCCCAAACGAGUUUCGGUUUUAUCCAAUCGGGUUUCGGUUUUUCGGGUUUAUCAAAAUCAGCCCCAUUCGGAUUAUAUGAAAGUUCGGUUCGGGACCGGUUCGGGUUCUAUCGGGUUCGGAUCGGGGUUAGUAAAUCUUCAAAGAACCGGUACAACCCAAUAUACUUUCGGGUUCGGGUCCCAAUCGGUUUUUCGGUUUAAAAGUACCUGAUUUUUUACCUAUUUUAUAACCGAAACAUGAGUAAACUUUGUUUUUCUGUUUUAAAAUACCUGAUUUGUACCUAUUUUGUAACCAAAACUUAAGUAAAAAUCGAUUCAAAAAUAAGGAACAUCAACCGUGAUCAUUCAAAAUCAAACGAAAAGUAAACAUAUUUACUGAUAAAAAGAAAACCAAAUAAAUAAAAGCAUAAAAUGAAAACCAAGUUCUCAUGAAAUGAAAAACAUUGUUUAAUGAAAACAAAAUCAAAAUCUAAAUACUUCAAGAUUCAACGGUCAUCUUCAACCAUCAACCUUCAUGUAAUAGAACCACCAACCUUCAUGUAAUAGAUAAGUAUUUUAGAUGUUCAAUAUUUCUUAGUGUAUUUUGGAUACAUAUUAGGAAUUGAGAUCAUGUUUGGUACAAGAUCUUUUCGAGGUUUUGAAUGUUUCGGGUUCUAUCGGAUAUCCAUUUAGAUUCGGGUUCGGUUCGGAUAAUACCCAUAACCCGAAAUACCACAAAACAAGAUCCAUUCGGUAUUUACGUCGGGUUCGGAUCGGUUCGGAUUCAUUUUUAUCGGAUCGGAUUCGGUUCGGGUUUUCGGGUUCGGUUUAUUUGCCCAGCCCUAUAGUAUAUCGUGGCCGAAAGUUUUCGAAUAUUCAUUCGUAUGCAUGUAUAUUUAAAUUAACAUCCUUGUUAAAUACUUAGUAAUGUUUUGAACGUGAUAGUGACUGCAAAAGUUAACUCCGCGGAUGAAACUGGUGAAGACAUCGCAUUUUUACACAUUUAAAAAGGCUAACUAUGAUGGUCGAUGGCCAAAUUUCAUAAAGGUUUGAUUGGUAGCCCAAUUUAAUACGGUUGGGAGAAUUAGUUUAGACUUCAGUUUCUUAUGUAUAUCAUUGAUCCAUGUUUCACUUUCUAAUAACAUGUUUGUGUGUCGAUAGUAAGUUCGCAUUAAAUAUUUGUUUGUUUAUGUAGACGAAGAUAUCUUCUCUUUACUUUUUUCUGGUGUGUUUUUAGAUGAAGGUGCUUCAAGAAUCUAGAGGCGUGGAUCUCCAUUCUUGUUGACUAUUUUGGUAGCUCAGUUUUUCUGUCAGCGGCUUAGUCUGCGUAUGAAGGGUGCAGCUGAAGGCGGCGGCGGCUGUUUAUGUAUAUUGAUAUAUACUUUAUUAGAAAAUAUGUGUAUAUAGUGUACAUGUUAUUAUAUCUAAAAAGUAUAAAUUUAUGUUUUUUAAACCAACAUGUAUAUCGACUGUGUAAAUUAUCGUUGCACCCCGUUUUGUUUUACAAAUCUGAUUAAAAUAAUUCAUUUAAUUAAUGCGAAAUUGAUUAUACGCAUCACUAGAGUAUAACUAUAAAUAUAAUUUGAUUCAUAAACUAGAUUCACAUCCCACGCUGCACAUGCAACUAUAGCACAUUCAAAGUAAUAAAACGCCAACCGUAUCGGAAAUAUUCCAAUAUAAAGUCCAAACAGAAGCAUCCAAUAUCUCCCUCUUAUUCAUACUAGAGGUUUUAUCCGGGCUACGCCCGGGAUUAUACAAAUAUCAUAGUAUUUAAUAUAUAUAUAUAUAUAUAUGUAUAUAUAUAUAUUGCAUAUAUACUAUAUCUAUGUUAUAAAAAUAUAAAUAGUAAAUUGAAUUAGAUAUGAAUAAAACUUACAAUCUAUUGAUUACUAUCUAAAAUAUGUAUGGAAUGAUGGUCAAAUGUGAAAUGAAUAAAGACUUCGUUAAACCUUAAUUAUUAUCCAAAAUAUACUGUUAAAUAUUUACGUUACUAUGAAAAAAAAGAAAAAAAUACUGUUAACCUCAAUUGAUUCUUUUUUUUUACUUUAAAUCACUAAGCUUAUAAUUUUUAUUUACAAUUUAGUUCAAAUUUACAGUAUUAGAAAAUAUUUAUGGUUUUUAGAAUCUAUAUGAAUUGAGGCACAUUACCUAAAACUUGUAUUACCUCCACAAUUAUUGGCGAACUGUUGACCGUAAUCUAAGAGGAGGUAGUUUGGUUCAGUGUUAGGGUCUUGUUUAAAAACAUUAUCUAGAACUUGUAUCACCUCCAUAACUAUGAUCUUUUUGAACCCAGUGUGAUUGUAAACAACUAAACAUAAGCAUAGUAAUUAAUCACAAUUUUUUGCUAUGCUUAUCUGAGGACUCUAUUGUUUUUUACUUAAUUAGACCACAUGCUAACUGUAUUCAUAAUGUUUUAUCACGUAUAUAGACAAAAGUAAAAGUCAAAGAUUUUCUUGAAAGAAUAAGAAAAUGAAUUGUCUUUAAUUUAUCUGAUUUACCUAUUUUCUUCGAGACAAAUAAUUUUCUUUUAUUUCAGAGAGAACGAAAGGACAUGUUCAUUAGUAAACAUCUUAUAAAAUAUCUCAAUAAUAAUAAUAAAUCAAAAUAUCUGAAUUAAAAAAACAAACAAAAUGAAAUUGAGAAGAAAAUGACGAAAGAAUGAAAGAAUUUCUACUCUAUUGAUAAAAAACAACUCAUUUAAUAUUUGUCAAAUGUUGUUAGUAAAAUUUAAAAAAUAUUAAAAUUUAUUAUUGAGAAAUUCUGGAGAGUUUCUUAUUACUGAUUGAUUGUCUUAUGCUUUCAUACUCCAUACUUUUUUUGUGAUUGUCAUAUGGGAUAUAAACAACAGUUGUUAUAAUCAUUCAUAAAUUUAGUUCCCUGUAAUUGAUUUUUGUUAGCUACCGAAAGUUGGAAAAUAACAGUUGUUAUAAUCAUUCAUAAGUAUUCAUCAAUACUACCAAUAGUAAUAUAAAAAGUAACAGAAAAACAUAUAAUAAUUUAUAGAGUAUGUUUCAUAAUAUUUAGUUUAGUCUCAGUGAAAAGUGAUAUUAAUAUACAUACACUAUUUUUGUUAUUCUUCUUAUAAAUCUAAGAAAUCAUAUAUUAUGAUGUUAAGAUCAUGUCCGGAUGUGCCACAUGGAAGCCAUAUUUGCCGGAAGCUGAACUCGUUCUGCAGCUAUAUCUUUGGCUUCCAGCAGUGUUUUGAACCGGAUCCGCUGUUGAACCGGUAAAUCCGGCGAUCCAGAAAAAAAUCUGGUUUGGAUUUUGUGAAAAACUCAAUAUUUAGAAAUCCGCAAAAACCCACUAAAACCCGAAACCCGAUAUCGGUUUGACCGCCGGUUGAAUCAAUAAAUAACUUUUACUUUAUUUUUUUAGUUUUUAAUUAUGUAUUUAGAUUAUGUUUUAUAUUCUAAGUUUCCAAUUAAGAAGUUAGGUUUUUCCUUUUCAGUUUUAUAUUUGUGGUUUUUAGAUUUUGAUGAAAAUUUCACAAUACCACCUAAAGAAAAUAACGUGAACGAUAGUAAAAAGAACCAAAAUUAGUUGAUUUGAUUUGGUGUUUGUUUAUUUCCGUUAUUGACAAUUUAUUACAAUGAUCUUUUAUUUUUGAUUUAUUUUUUAUUUGAAGUUUAAUUUAUUAUUUACCUUGUUAGAGAAAAUUUUAAAUUGUAUAAAGUAUUUUUUGAUAUUUUGUAUGUCAAAUGAAAAUAAAAAUAUAAAAACUAAAGUUAAUUAUUUUCUAAAGGUUCCAAACUAUUAUUUUAUGUUUAAAAAAACAUUUAGAAAAUAUUAAACUUUAGUUUCUAUAUUUAUAGCCUCUUUAGUUCCAUAGUACUCCUUUCAUAUUAAGUAUGGCAUGCUGCAGUUCAAGAAACCAAAAAAACACAACUCAUAUAAAGAAACCAACAAAAUAAAAAGAACUUUCACUCACCUGGUGAUCACUUUGGUUGAUGAGGUCAGGUUCUGCAGAUUUAGGAAACUGGACAGUUUGUAUGCAUCUUCUUGACAUAUCACUCGGGUAUCCAACCUCCAACUUUUUCGUGAAUUAUGUAUAUAACGUUAACUAUUUGCUAUAGUGGCCUAUGAGUUAUAUUAAAUAACUUAGUUCGUCUAGUUAUAGUAUGAUUGCUUUUUCGUUCUUUUACCACUUUCUAAGCCACGUAUAAGAGAAAGUCAUAGAGAUUAUACAACAACCAUAAUCUAAGAAGCUAUGUAUCAAACUAAAAUCUGGGGAAAAAAAUAAUAAUAUAAGUUCCAAUAACAUAUUGAGAACUUGAUUGUCAUUAAAACAAAAGCGGUUCCUCAAGUUCUUCUUCCGAGACAUCUCAUUUUCUUUCAUUGUUGUGCAACUGAUACUUUAAGUGAUCAUUGCAAAUUUGCAAUGACAACUGCCCGUUAUCAAGAUUGUUUCUACAAACCCUAGGUGGAACUUAGGUUCCAAUCAAAACGCAUGAUAUCAAAUGUGUAUAGCUCAUUCACAAACAAACCCUAGGUGGGAUAUACUACCAGUUUGCUAUUGAAGCAAAAAGUUCUUGUAGCAAAUUUGGUUGAAGAUGUAAAUAUAGCGCAAGAGGUACUUGUCUUUGCUGCAUAGUGUUAGAGGAACGUAUAUAGUCUCCGUUUAGAGGGCUAUUUUAUAUUCAACGUAGUAAACCGGCCAAAUUUUAUAUAAUAGAAUCAUAGGGAAAGCUUUACGUAUUCAGAAUGGUUGUAAAAAGUGAACAAAGAUGGUGGAAAUCAGUUAAAUUAUUCUAAUCAAAGAUGCAUUUCUCUAUUACAAAACAUCCACUUCAAGCACAAUGUGCUCAACUCGAAUUGGCUCUAACAAAGAGAGAGAUAAACUUAUUUCCUUACUUUCUCAAUGAAUAAUCAAGCAAAAACGUGUUGUCUAUGUUACAUAAAAUCAAUAAUAGAUGAAUUAAUACGUAUAGUUAAAAAUGUCGAUUGUGCCAAAUCCACCAGUUGAAAACGCGUUACAUAGAAUACGAAUGAACUCUGACGUGGUCCAUCUACCAGUUCAACAUACUGUGCUCUGCCAACUACCACUGCAAUGACAAACAGUCCAUCUUAAUAUCUACGCGUUUGUUUCUAUUAUGCAUGUCUGAAUGCAAAGAUAAAAUAUAUUACAUUGUAAGAAAAAGUAAAAGAAGAAUCCAAGUUGUAGCUUGAACGGAUUUGCUACGCAUUUGACACUCAGACAGAUUUAGUUGUCACUGUAUAGCUCAUACCAACCGUGAAGCUGCUUUUUGUAGCACACGUGUUCAAAAUGUCCCUAGUCAAAUGCUUCGUAUCGUCCUGAAUAAGUCCGAGCACACGCGUUUGUUCCUGAAAAUAUCAACAACCAUAUGACAUAUUGAAGGUAUAUAAAAUGGCUAUUUCAAAUCAAAUGUUUGCUUGCAGAGUUAACUUAGAGUUACCUUUCGUCUCACUGAGCAAAAUUUACAGUCGGAUUCAGAAUGAGGGAGAAGCUGAUUAACAAUAAACCUGUGAACUGGCACAUUUUCUUUUCUUAAAAUGCAUGUAAUCCCGAAGACUCAGUUUAUUGCCAUGACCUAAAAGGAAAGGUAAUAGCCAAGUAAAUAUGCCAGAAGGAGAGACCGACUUCUAUUCAAAUUUAUCCUUAAUGGGGUAGAAGAAUAAAGCUACGCGUCUCAGUAACCACAUGUAAACUAAUGAUCUUAUGAACAGGUAAGAGAAUGGUGCUAUGGUUACAAUGACAAACUCAGUAGUGUCCACUUCACGGAAAACAUUUAGAACUUUCUCCAUUCUCUCUUUCAGUUGGUCCAACUCGUUGGACUGUUUCAAAAGAAAAAGAAUCUUUAGAAGAAUUAAAAAAAAAGAAUUGAUUCAAAAGAAAAUGUCUAUACUUACAGGUCCUUGUUGUUGUAUCUCCUUUUUUCCAAAGACAGACGUAAAGGCUAAAGCUGCUGCAGUGAUCUUCUUCUUGAGCUGAAUAUCAAAUACAGCUAAGCUAAGCUAAGCUAAACAUAACAAAAGGAUUAAAAAAACUGAAUGCUCAAACCUUUGUUAUUUUGCCAAUUGAAGAAUCAUAGAAAUUGGACAGAGAAAGAAGCCGCAAAAUAUGUCCCUGCAAGAACACUAUUCAAAAAUUAUAAAAGAAUCCACCAAGUGGAAACUCCAGACUUAGAAUAUAUAUAUAUACUAACCGUGGGAGCAGUAUCGAGGACUAUAUGUGUAAACCUAUUGUAUUCUGGUGACUCCAUAAAUUGAAGAACCUGUCAAGACUCAAGAGAUCUCAACAUUAGUUAUAAAAAAAUAAAGUUCAUCUUCAAGGGAUCUCAACAUACGUGCCUUGGAUAUAACUGAUAUUUCGUCAAAUACCAGGUGAUGCAGCAUUGAGCAUAUCUUCAAGAUUCAAGCUCCCUAACUACAAAAAAAAUGGACAACGCAUCUCCAUGACAUUUACAAAGUUUUCCCAAACCAACAAAAGUAGAAAAGAAAAGAGAUCUGAUUUCAUCCUUUCAUUCACUGUACCAGUCAAUAGCUUGCCCGAUAAUCAGAAACGGCAUCGAGCACUUUGACAAACGAAAUCCAAGGUGUAAGAUUUAUUAUUUGAAACAGAACAUAAUUCACAGAGAAAGACAUAAAAAAUACAUGUAGAUAUUUCAGAUAAUAGCAUCCAAAUAGAAAUCAACGACACAAAGCCCUAUCAAUCAGAGUUAUGGAAGUGAAAGUUUUAUGAGAUUCCCAACAUAUAAAUCAUCAAUAAAUAAGUUUUCUUUGCUAUUUUUACAGAUCCAGAGAAUGAUUUCAAGGGUAGGAAACUAACCUUUUUAUAGGUUUAAAAACACCGACUUGGAGAAGAGAAAGAUACAUUUAAUGUCAGAUUGUGGUUGAUGGAGUUAAGAAGGCAAUAAGAGGAGACGAAUCUGUAACUCGAAACGUUUCGAUGAUUGACUAUACCGGAAGAUUAAACGUCGCGAUUAAAGACCUAGAAAGAGAUCCCACACGUCUAUUCUAGCAUCUCAAUCUUUGGAGACUUCAUUAUUGGUGUCAGCGAAGGUAUAUGAAGGUCGUCAUUGUCAGAGUUUGUAGAGGAGGAUGAACCCUAAAACAUGUUUGCAACUGAUGAAGACGAUCAGUUUUGUCGCUAUUGGGCUGGAAUGAAGUAAAAGAUAAAGCCCAAAAAGGAAGUCUAUAGAACGGUAAAUAAAAAACUGCGUUUUGUUAAUAAAGCCGUGCUGACGUGUCCGAAUGCAGGCUUCCUAUUGGACGAUUUUUUUUAUCCUACGUGGAUGGCCUAACUGAGGCUCAUAUAUCCCUUUUAGUAUUAGUUAGAUCUUGUCGUAAUGUAUAUUCAUGCUAUAUAAUAUUAAUAACUAACGAAUUCUAUUCUAAUGUUUUAUAUUAUUUUAUCUGUCCGGUUGGUUGCUUACUUGGUCAUGACCAGUGUUCAAGAAAGUCUUAUGCGCUAAGCAGGCGACUAUUCAAUUAUUAUUCAGUGCCUAGCUCCUAAAACAUUUAAUCAGAUGCAGAUUAUUAGUUAGAUAAUUUAGGUUUGUAAAUUAUAAUAAAAUAUUAAAUAUAUUAUAUUAAAUAUCUAAUUUACAAAUUAUAAAUUUAUAGUAUUUACUUUUAUAAAUUUUAUACUAUAAUAUAUUACCUAUAAGAUUAUAAUAAUAAAAUAUAUAAUCUAUAAUAAUUUAUAAUAUUAUAAUAAUAAAAUAUAUAAUUUCGUAUUAAAUUACAUUUUAGAAUUAAAUGAUUUUAUUAUUUUGUGGAAAUAUAUUUAGAAAAAAAGUUUAAUAAUAUUAGGGUUUGACUAGUGUAAAUGUCGCGUUUGCGGGUGCGGCAGUGCAUGUUUGCGGAUACAUAGGGUUGCAUUUUAAGCUUUAUCAAACGAUUUAUACGACUGAUACAUCAACUGAAAAUUAAUGCGUUUGUGGGAUACUUGUGACUGGUUUGAUUAUCAAACACAUCAACGGCUUAAUAAUAAAUUAACACCACUAACAUUUUAUAUAAUUAAAUAAUAUUAAAAUCAUAUUAUUAUAAUAAAUAUAAAUAUAUUUAUAAAUCAUAGUAUUGAAUUUUUAAAAAGAUUUUUUUUGGGUUUAUAUAAGUAUAUAUAUAUAUAUAUAUAUGAAUGACUAAAAAAUUACAUCAAAUAUUUUUGUUUUAAAUUUGUAUAACAUAAUUAAAAUAUAAUGUAUAUUAUGAGUAUUUAUAUUAUUUCAAUUUGAAAAUUUUUAUUAAAUACUUUUAUUUGUAUAUUUAUAUUUUUUUUAAGAAAUAUUUUUCUUCAUUUUCUACAACCAUUUGUAACUAGACGUUAGCUAGAAUUAGCUUUUUAUUUCGAAAGGUUUAGAACAGUGAAAAAUAGUUUAUAGAUUUCUUAUAAUUGUUGUAAAAUGCUAAGAGCCGCUAUCACCCACAAACGUAUUAUAUGUAUGCUCUAAUUUAAACGAUAAUAUAUCAACUUUUGGUUCUCAGUAAAAUAUAUAUUAUCCGCUUUUAGUAAAAUAUAUUAUGAUUGGUUAAGUAUUUUAGUUUUAUAGAAUAAUGGUUACAAUCUUUUUUUUUUUAAGUAUAAUAUGUGACAAAUUUGACCUAAAACCUAGCUACGUGGAAAAGGCUAUAACCUCAUGGGUAAUAAAAAAGUCGGCUUGGGGCCUUCAUAUUCUGAGGACCAGUCUUCUCUGUACGCUUUAAUUUUACCAACAAAAAUUAAGUUUCACAUGUAUAAUUUGUUUAAAGAUUAUAUAGCUAAUUAGGUUGCAGGAUAGAACAAAUAAAAAACAAUAUAAUGAUAUUGCCUAUCAAUAAAAUGAACAAAAUUAAUUUGGCGGAUACUUAUUUUAAAUCUGUCAUAACUCUCAUAUUAGACAUUAGUAUCUUAUAUUUUUAAUCUAUUAUGAAGAAAAUUUUCUAAUAUAUAAUACAUUUUCUGUUUGUACAUUUAAAUACAGUAUAACAUCUUUAAAUUAAUAUUCUAUAAAUUAAUACUCUAUAAAUUAAUAUACACUAAAAAUCUCUAUAAAACAAUAUAAUUUUAUAGUCACAAAUUGAUUUUUUGGUUCAGUUAGUAUAUCGAUAAAUUAAUAUCUCUAUAAAUUAAUAAAAAAUUAUAGUUUUAUUGUAGUUCUAAUAUUAUUAAUUUAUAGAGGUUUCACUAUAAAUGCGCCUGGACUAAAAAAUCCUAAAAUGUCUAUGGUAACUGGAUAUCUUCAAUAAAAUUCAGAUUAUAUUACAAUAUAUUCAACCAAUUGAAACUCGGUAAGAGAAUAAAAAUCGAUCCCACAAAGAUUUUAAAUAGUAACCAAAUGAAUAAAGAUGAACAUUGUUUUCUUAACUUUCAUAAGAAAUAAUACUAUCAUCUAUAAGAACUAUUUUUUUUCCUUCACACUCUUUUGUAUUCUUUGUUUAGAGUAUUACAUUGCAAUUUUUCACUUAAGGUCUUUAACCGACAAUCAUAACAAGAAUACUAUGAAAAAAUAGGGAAAAAAGUAGGAAAUAACGGAUAAGAAUAAAUUAGUAAAAAUGCAAAAAUGAUGGUUUCUUCUUAAAUUUAAUGUAGAACAAAUUUUCUCUUAAUACCUUAUAAAUGAAUGAAAAAAAUGAAAAAAGUAUUCCUCAUAAAUAGUGUUAUUUAUUAGAAACGUUAAAAAAUUAGGAUUUGAAUAGAGAAGGGACGAACCACAUGGUUCAGACAAAAAAAAAAUAGACUAUCCACUUUCACAUGGCCAUUCACCCAAAACACUGAUACACUAAAAUUACAUAGCAUAAAUAUUUAAUAAUGAACUGUACAAUAUUUAGCCGUACAGAUUUGUGAAGAAAACAUAUAAACAGUAAGUGAUUUUUGAAGUUUGUCAUUUUUGUAGUGGUUUAAGUAUUUUUCUACGUAUCAGUUAUGUAUGAUUACUGAAAAAUAUAGUACUUAUUUAUUAUAAAUUAACUGUAUGGUUAUCUUUUUUUCUUUUUAAUGAUGUGAUAUUUUCUUAAUUAUAUCACAAAUUUUUUUAUCACCAUUGUGUUAUUUCUUCAGAAAUGUUAAACUAUUUUACCAAAAAUAUAAUUUUAAGGCAUCUAAAAUUAUAUAUAUAUAUAUAUAUAUAUAUUCAAUUCAAAAUCUCAAAAUAAUUAUAUAUAUGCUUAAAUUAAUUUUCUAUGAUACUUUGGAUAAAAAUUAUAUUUAUCCCAUUUAUAAAGUAUUUUUAAAUAACUAUUUUUAGUCGUGAAAAUAAAUAGAAAAUAUGUUUCCGCUAAAUCCAUUUGAUCCAAAUUUGUACCGUUUGAUCCAUUAGAUUCACUCUUUUGCCACUCGGUCCGUUUAAUCCGCUAGAUUCGCAACGCUUGAUCCACUUUUUCAUUCGGAGCCUUAGUUUUCUUCUCCGUUCAUUUGGUCACCCAUCAUUCGAAACUUAAAUUUGAGAUUGAACAAUCAUUCAUUCUCAUUUCUACUAUUUUUUUUUAUUCGUUCCUAGUAUUUAUUAGUAUUUAUGUGAUGGUUCCCAGUUAAAAUCUAAGUCUAAUACAAUUUGAUUCACACUGGUUGUUUCUAAAAGGAAAAAGGGUCCGAAUCGAUAUGAUAUUGAUCAUGCAAUACGUCUUAGUUUUAUUUUCUAGCUGGUACAUGAUUGCGUGUGGAAUUACAACCAUGAAAAACGGAUACAGCAUAUAUGUUUCCUAGGGAAAUUUUUUUGGUCCGGAUUACUUACAGCGUUACAGAUAAAAGUAAAUAAUUGUUGACAAAAAAGUAAAUAAUUAAUUUUUCAUGUUUGGGAAUCAGAGAAAAUUAUAUAUAUAUAUAUACACAUAUAUAUUAGUAAACUUAUAUUGAUUAAGAUGGAUAAGGAAAAAAAAGAGAAAAGCAUGUGAAUGGCAGAGUUGUCGCUCAUGUGAAAGUUAGAAAAAAAAAUAAAAAAUUGGCCCGUGAUGAGACUGUCGAGUAGAGUUUAUGAAUAGUACAAAAAUUAUUCAGAUUUUCUUCUGCGUAAUCUUGGUCCACUUCAUUAUGGGAUAGCAAUAUAUAUACAUACUGGAAAGACAAUUGGAGACGAUAUUUGGAUAGUUAAUCACACCAUGGUAUCUGUGACAAAAAAAAAUUUAAAAAAUACACCAUGGUACAUAUAUACAGUGUCAACCAAAACUACAUAUAGCAAGGCCAAAAAGUGAUGAGAUCUGAUCAGGACGUCAUACAUCUACGUCCCAACCGGCAAAAAUAGCUCUGUAAACAAAGCAUAUUAUGUCGUCUCUCGCAUAUGAUUUCAGGAGAUUGGAUUUACUAUUUUUUGUGGGUUCGAAUGUCUCAGUUUUUGGGUCCAUCAAUUCUUUCACACUGCGUCUACCACAUGCAGACCGAGAUUCUAAGGAAGGACGCUUCGCCAAUACUUUUUUUAUGGACAUGUCGCGGUAAGGCAUUAAUUUAUCAAUUUUGAAGAUCGAAGUUCUUUCUACUUGAUUCUAAAAGAUUAAAGACUCUUAUUUUUUGUUCUUUAGUGUUAGAUAUGUUUUGAAUCUUGUAUGACGAGCCCAAACGAUAUAGGAUCAUUCAUAUAUAGGUUGCGCAUUUUCAUCUAGUUUAUCUUUAUUAAGUUUAAAUCCGUAAAAUUUUUAGUGAGACAAUUUUCGAACCGGGAUACUUUUAUUUAUAUUUUUCCUUGUGUAUUAUCAACGUAAUCUAGCUUCCAUUUAAUAAAAUUCGUCUUUCUCCAUAGAUGUAUCCAAUUGAUGAUGAAUCACAUUAAAUAUCUAUGUAAUUUACUUUCUUUUGUUUAUUCAUCUGUUUUUGCAUUAUUGUACAGCAACCAUUAUAGCAUUUAGCGCCUAUUACUCUUAUCUGAUAUUCUUCAAGGAACAUGAUCACCAUAAUCUUCUUUUUUUUUAAAAAAAAAAGAAGAAGAAAAUGAACACCAUAAUCAUAUGGCCGGUUCCUAAAAUCGAACUUGAACAAAAUUCAUGUAUUUUUUUUUUUUUGUAAAUGAAAUUCAUGUAUUUUAUUUUUAGUAACUUUUAUCAAUGAAUUGAAGGUUGCCAAUUUUAGAGGUGGAAUAUAAAAAAAUGUAAAAGCAAUAAACAAUAAUUCUAUUAAAAAUCAGUCUCUUGGUUCAAAGUUUGACUGCUACCUUCUCAGGACAUAAUUUGUAAUAUUCCAUUUUUUGCAACGUAAUAUUCCAUUUUGGAUAUGAAUUUCUGAUCAUAAACAAACUAUUUUAUCGUCGAUGGUAACGAUAUGAAUUGUUCUUCAAGUGUAUUCAACUUUGGAUAUGAUGAAAUUAACAUGUAGUUAAAAAAACAAGAGAGCGUUUUUUACAUAUGGAUUUGAUUAACCAUUAUAUAUACUUUGAACGCUUUUGAUUUUUUGACAAAAUAUAUAUAUUCAGAAUGAAAAAGAAGAAAAGAGAUGUCUGUUUUUGGUGAGACAACGGUACCAUCUCUCCCUCUUGUUGCACGUCGAUGGGCCUCCUUACUUGCAUGUAUAUAUGUCCUACAUUGUAUAUAUGAUAUUAUCGUUAUUGUUAUUCUCCAUUUAAAUUAUUACGACAAUGACUUUAUAAUGCUAUUAUUAAUAUAACUAACUAUUCCAAUAAUUCUAGAUAUUGUCAACAAUAAUGUAUUUUUUUGGGCCAAGAAACAAUAAUGUAUUUUUUGGUCAAAUAACCAUAAUGUAUUUAUAAUAUUCACACACGCACACCAAAGUAAUUCAAUUUUAAUAAAACAAAUUCUAGAAAUGGAUUAAAACUUCAUAAAUAUACAUCACUCUCCCGGUCUCCCUUUCCACAAAAAAAAAAGAAAUAUAUAUUAAAAACCUAACAGGACAGACACCAAAGAGUUAUCUGUCUCAGGGAUUGGACUACACAAAUGUGUUUCGAAGCUCUUGUAGUUCAGUCCGCGGCGGAGACGUCUUUGUACAGGUCAACGGUCCUAGAUUUUGCGUUACAAAAAAGACGAUUGUCUAUGAACUGAUGAAAGAAACCGAUCAAAUAUUGAACGGGUUUCAAAAUGUUGAACGGGUUAUGCCUUCACUCAAACAAAAAAAAAAAUUGAACGGGUUUCAAAUUCAAUUACAUAAUUUUAAUUUCUUAGAUAUUUGAAAAACUCAAAAGAAAUCUAGAUCCAAUGAAAUCAGAAAAAAUAUUAUUUUUUGUAAGGACAAAUUAUAUAUUUUAAGGAAGACAUGUUUUCAAACUAAAAUCGGAAUCAUACCAAAUAGAUUUGCAUUAGAAUUAAUUUUAUAUUGAUGCUACUUUUUAACCGAAAAAUUAUAGCAUCAAUAAUGCAGACUCGUGAACGUUGAAACAGAAUUGUUCAUUUUGGACCGCUAAAUUUAAAAUAUGAUGGGGACAACCCUUUAGGAUAUGGUAGGAAUAUGUUACAUACAAAGGCACAUAUUUAUGCACAUGUGACAUGUAUGUAUACAUGUAUCGAGAUAUUUAGAAAGGGGAUCAGAGGACAUACACUCGUGACAUUGCCAGCUAGUGAGGAUGACAAAUGAAAAGAAAUUGAAGAAUAAAAAGGCAAAUAAAAGAAAAUAAAAACAAAAAGACAAAGAAACUUAGCAAAGGCUGCUUGUACUCUCCAACUCAUUGACUGCCCCAUGCAAUGAUAAGACGAUAAAUGUGUCAGCCAAAUAUAAAAAUCGAAACUGUUAUUUUAACGAAAUAAAAUAAUACUAAAAGCAGUAUUCACAUCCAAAUUAUUUGACCGUAAUAUACAGAACAUAGACUUAGAAUUGACUCCACAAAUAAUUAAAUUAUUAUUUAUCUGAACUACAUAAGCCAUUAUAAAUAAUAUUAUAUAAUCUUCAUAAUCCAAGAGAAUUUAGAACUGCAAAACUAUGUAAAAUAUUAUUAUAUAAAAAAUUCUUCAUUAUGAAACAAUAAACUAUAAACUCUGAAUAUUGUUCAGGAGAAAUCCAUUUAUAUAAAACUAUAAAGGCAAAAUAUUUUACAAAAAGAGAGCUGAGUUUAGAUAAAUGUAACUAUUUAUUAUUACUUUUCUGAUAAACUUAAAUACUGAGAGACUACUUCAAAUGGGAUUUUGAUGACGACAUGCAUACCUGAAAGAUAUAGCAUGGACGUACUCGAUGAAUUCAAAACCUUUUAAUUUUUUCCCUUGGCUAGAAACUUGCAUGAUGGAUUCCAUACGGUGGUGAGCUUGUCGAACCACCACCACCAGGAUUCACAUUCAUGCUGUUUCUAUCAGCGGAAUCCGACGAAGAGCCAACUCUUUCUCUACCACCAUUCCCAUGUUGCUGCUGCUGUUGUUGUUGAAACCCUGCGCUUCCACUCAUGCUUCUUACGAUCUGUCCAACUCCAAGAAAGUCUCUAGUCAUGUUCUGCUUAUCAGCGCUUAGUCCUUUGUUCACUCCUCCGUACGUACCAAACUGAGAAUCUACUCCAUUAGCGCUGUUUCCAGUUGCGCCAGGGUUGGAGAAAGAGUUCAUCAAAUCGUGAAGAUUACUCUCGUUUUCUCCGUACAUUCCACUCCCAAAGCUUCUUAGAAUCGACGAGGCAUUGUUUGUAUUGUUGUUGUUGCUGCUUGAGGUUGAUGAACCCAUUUGAGCAGCUUUCUGAAGAAGAGCAGUGGCUGACAUGUGAGAUGCUGAAUUAGGGUUUUGCAUUGACGAGCUAAAGAGUGAAGGCACUGCUCCUGAAUUGAUUCUGCCUGCUNNNNNNNNNNAAGGCACUGCUCCUGAAUUGAUUCUGCUUGCUGAACUCAUCAGAUUAUUAGGGAAGAGACCAGUACUUCCUCCUCCGCUUCCUCCAACAGCAUUUUCACCACCAAAAUGGUUUGAAAGCAUAUGGUUAGCCGAAGGAACAGCAGCAGCAUUAGGGUUGCUUGUACCAGAAGCAAUUCCGUUGUUUCCAGAUAGGAAGCUUAGAUUGAAGAGAUUGGAGGAAGGAGAAUUAUGGUUAUCAUUUGAGAACUGCAUCAAACUCUGUUGAAAAUUCAUUGGAGAUGGCUUGAUGUUAUUGCUUGCAGCCAAAAACCCUUGUUGUUGAUGUUGAUGAUGGUCUUGCUGAUCAUGAAAGCUAGGGUUUUGCUCUUGCAUGAAGUAACCUGAAGCAUUUGCAGCAAUGAGAUCAGAGGAAGAUCGUGAGGCGCCCCCUCCACCUCCUCCGCCGCUUCCAAGUCGAAGAACGUCACCGGACUGAUGAUCAAGAUUUUGUGGGUUCCCAAUGUGGGGCAAACCAAGGAUCAUGCUUGGCGUGUUGUUGUUGGAGUUGUUGGUGGUUUGUAAGGAUCAUGCUUGAAGUAUUGUUGGAGUUGUUGGUAUUUUGUCCGUAGGGAAAGUGGUGACUUGGCAAAGAAGUCAAAGAAGUUGGGUGUCUCGCACUCUCUUGAGCCAACGCGUCACAGAAGGCUCUAUGUGUAAUGAAACUGUCUCGCCUGCGACACACCAAAAACAAAAAGAAGAGUAAUGUAACAACGGAGUCUAUUGGAUCGUCAGGUAUAUUAAUCAAAUGACGAAAUAAGAAGACAUAUUACAGUUUCAAAAAAAAAAAAUUAAGAAGAUAUAUUUCAAAAAAAAAGACAUAUUUUGGGAAAGGUGAGAGACAAAUAUUUAUAAAUAUAGAGAGAGACUCUUCAUGUCACGUAGCUUCAAAUAGAUUCGCGUGUAAUUAUUGGAUCUUGAAAAAUAGAUAGAUGGCUAGAAAGUCACUCUCCUACUCUAUGACACAUCAUAUUAUUAUUUCAGCUAUGUAAUUUUAAACAGCUUACACAAUACACACUCACAUGCCUUGAUUUAUUUACGAAUAAUGCACGUAAAUACAUAAAUAGGAGUACAAUGUUGUGUCACACUUCAACUACGAUGAUGUAUGUCCGUGUCUAUAUGAUUAUGUGUACGAGCAACAUGUAUAAAUCAGUAUACAUGCAGUAAGUAAUGAACAUAAAUAUUAUUCAAUUCCGACCAAAUAUUAUGCCUAAGAUAUGCUCGUCAAUGGAAACUAGUAAUUUAAUGUGUAUGUAUAUGUUAAUGUAUAUAUAUAUAUAUAUCUAAAUGAAUACUCAAAAGAAUCAAAUAGGUAGGUGAAAAAAAGUUAAGUUUCACAAUAGUAGCAGUAUAUGGAGAGAAUGAUUGUCAAAUGAAUAUCUGAAUCUGUCUUAAUCCUAGAUCCUGUAAAUCCAAUAAAUGCAACUUCAGCAUAUAUUCAAUGAAGGACUAAUAUGUUAUGCAUAAAUGGUUAAAUAACUAAUUAUGUAUAUAAUUAUCUACCACCAUAUUUUUAAUACCUUCGUUCCAUUUAUAGAACUCCUCUUUACUGACGCGCGCACACACAAACAUAGCAAUGCCAACCAAGACUGAAAAAUACUCCUAAUUUGAAAAUGUUUUUAAUAUACUAGUUUUUGUUAAAAUUUAAUAUAUUAGUUAUCACUUCUAUGCAGUUUGAAGCCAUUUUGUGCAAAAUGUAUAUAGUAAUUAAUCAAAAUAAUUAUGCGGUGUGUGGUUAUAUAUGGUGCAGAUUACACCCGAUUCAUGAAAACGAGUAAUAUGCUAGUAAAAUUUGCACAUAAGAGAACAAACACUGUAGCAACAACUCUCUAGAGAUAUUAUAUGGUUUAGCAGCACGUGAAUUGCCCAUAUUAUAAGAAUCUUUUUAAAUCUAAGAAAAAAAAUUUAAAAAUAUAUUAAUAAAUUUUAUGACAGAAAAUCUGGCGGUGUUUCCAAGGUAAAAUAUAUAGAAAACACAAUAAAUAAAAAAAAAAGAAAUUAAAUUGGUCCUCUUUGGUUUUGAGUUUCUGCCAGAAAGCAUCUUAUGAAAUAUGGCAGUUUCAGUCAUAUACAUAUAUAUAGGUAUAUGCACACACAUUCACGUGUGCUCAUGUAUCCAUUUUAUUUUUAUAAUUUUAAGUUAAAAGGAAAAAAGAAAGAAAUUACUGCACGAAAGAAAGCGAUAAGAGCAUCGAAGACUUCGAGGCGAAACAGAAAGCGAACCUAAGAAAAAAAACCCUAGUCUAUGAAGAAUGACCCAGACACACAUUCACACCCAUAUCAUAUAGGAUUAAUUAUAAUUUAAAGAGUUCAAAAGUUCAGAAUAUUUACCUGGAGAAGAGUGUACCACAAUCGCAACGAUAUUCUUUGGUACCACAAGUCUUGGAGUGAGCUUUCCAAUCAGAUUGAACAGCGUAACGCUUAGAACAUUUCUCGCAUUUCCACUUCUUUUCACCGUGUUUACGGUAAUAAUGUUUCUUGAUUCCGGUGAGGUCUCCGAGAGCACGUGACGGGUCAUGGUGGACGCACGAGGGCUCCGGACAAAGAUACACUUUCCUCUUCACUUCUUUGGUCGAUUUUUGCUUAAGUUUCCAUGGAAGAUUGUGUCCUCUUCGGUGAAGUUGUAGAUUCUGUUCUCUUUGAAACCCUUUGUUGCAUACUUCACAUAUGAAUCUGUUUGUAGCCAUUAGUGUCUUUGGAGAUAAAGCUAUCACUUCUGCAUCUGAAUCUAAUAGAAAAGAACAAAACAUUGAGGGUAAAAUUAUUAAUUAAUUAAAAGAGAUUUUAUAUUGCAUGGUAUGUAACUAAUUAUAAUCUCAAUCUUGGAAAAUCAAUAACUUGUGUUUGCUAAUUUGCUUAUUUCAAGAUUUGGAAACUGAGAAAAAGGAUAGAUGAAAAAGGGAUCUCUAUUUUUUACUACAUAAUGAUUUUAAAAAUUGAUCACAUGAUUUUAUAAGAUUAAGAUGAUAAGAUUUCAAUUAAGGGAUGGUAAUUAGCUUACUUGGAGUUCUUGGUUGGUUUCUUUUCUUUUUCUGUGGUGGAGCUUCAAGGGGUUGCUGAGGCUGCGGUGGCUGGUGGUGAGGAGGAGGAGGAGGAGGAGGAGGAACGGCUGCAGAGGAAUUAGGAGGAAGCAGGUGAGACUGUUCAUCUUGUCGAACUCCAAAGAAGGAAGCAGCAGAGGAUGAAGAAGCAGCCAUGGAUUCUUAUGUGUUCUGUGUGAUGGUGAGAGAGAGAGAGAGAGGAGACAAGAAAAAAAAAAAGAAAUGAAAUGAAACUAGAGAGAAGAAACUCUUUAACAUUAAUUUUUUUUUGACUUCCACUGAUAUCUUAUCUCAAUAAAGCCCUAAAAAUGGGAUAUUCCAGAUUUUAAAAUAAUAAUUAUUAAAUUUUCUCAGCGAUUUUUUUUUUAAAAUAAAUAAAAGUAUAUGUCAGGUAAUAGAAGAGAAGAUGAAAGUGACAAGUGAAAACGAGUACUAGGCUAGUGAAAAAAUGUUCACACCCAACUCAAUAGCCUAGAGUAUUAAGAGUUCAUAUUAAGUUUUUUAAGGGAAUCUAUAUAAUCAAAUUAAAUCAAUCUACCUUUGUUAGUUUGGUGUAGGUUUAAUCUCUUGUGUAUAUUGAUCUAUAUUACAUAGGAUACUAAAACUAUAUACAUGUUAUGCAUUUAAGAAAAAGUUUGUUUUGUUUGUUGCGCUAUUGAACCAAACUAUUAUAAUUAAUUUGGGUGUCGAAUAUAGACACUAACACCAAUACAGAGCAAUUGAUUAUUUUCUUCUGAAUAUGUAAAUUUUAGAAAGGAAAAUGAGAACUACAGAGGUCGGUGGACCCAAUCCUUUUGCCACAUAACGACAGUGGAUGGUGCGUGAGACAAAGCCUCAACAGCUCCUCUCCCUCGCUAACAUAUGUGAAUAAUAAAUUAAAAGUGAAAUCGGAUCUAAAAAGUUUUUUAUAAAGCAGAUUACCAUAGUGUUUGACACUAAUUAAAUAAUGUAGAAGAGCAAAUCAAAAGGUUGAAAUGAUCUGCGUACGUGAUUUCAAUACUGGAGUAGAUCCAACAUUGUAAAGUUUUCGAGUUUGAAAAUGAACUAGCUAUUUAAAUUAACAUAAUGUAAGUUUUCUACUUCUUCAUUAGCGGUUACUAAAACUAACCACUAUAUUAUAUAUAACUAAAAAUCACUAGUACUAAUUCUAAGAAAAUUCUGAUUUAUGGGUUACACUUUGUUUUUAUCCUUUUUUGCCAAAGUGCAUCCCAUCUAGUCUAAUUAUUUUUGUAAAGUUUUACAAACUCUUCUCAUAUUUAUAUGAAAUUCAAAUCCUUGGCAAAAAAAAAAAAAUCGACAACUCUGUAUUUUUAUCUAACAUAUAUAUAUAGACAGGUCUCUCGACUUUCCAAAGGUUACUACACAAAGCAUCUAAUAUUUGCUUAUAUUCUUAACAAAAUAAGAUUAUUUGUCACAAUCGUAAUCAUCAUCUCAUAUGGGUCUCUUCUUUUUGUUUUAAAAUGUUCCUAUCAUAUCAUAUUACACUUUUAUGAAUGUAUGUAUAUCUAUGUGUCAUGGAAGGUUAAAAAGAGCUAUUCCAAAAGGUAAAAAGGACAAAAGGAAGAAUGAUUGUAUAUAUUUUUCAUGUAUGUGGAAAGUAAAACCAAAAAGGAUACUCCAAAAUUUUAACUAUAUUUCGUUAUAUUCUCCCAUAUAUAUAUUCAAGCAAUUGGGUAAAAACAAAUCAAACAACUCUAUAUUAUGAUUCCCGAGUGAUAGAUCCAAACAUCUUUUAUUUAUUCAGAUAAAUUACAAAACAACUAAAUUCACACAUAAUUUUUCAUAACGUUGCUGUUAAUGUCUAUUAGUAAUAUUUGUCUUAAAGAUGAUAUAGGUUUACAGCAACCGGUAUAUUGUGCAGAAAAUUAAUCUGACAUACUGCUAUUUAAAAAUAAAUUAGUUAAGAAAUUAUUAUAAACUUUAAUUUGCUUAUAUGUAUGUUAAGAUAUUUACAGUCUUUAACAUAUUUAUUUAAAAAUUCAGUCUAUUCUCAAAAGAAAGAGAUCAAGAAAAUGAAUCCAUUGGUAAGAGUUUUAAUUGAAUAUGUUUUUUUUUUGAUGAUGAUGAUGAUAUGACGUUAUGGUUUUAUUUGAACAAUUAUUUUUGCUAUGCAAAGAAUUUUUAGGAAAAGGAAUAACAAUUGCUAUUCCCGAUAACAAUGACACUUGAACCGUAACCUUUCCUCUCACAUACAGAUUCGAACAUAAAUUCUUUCAAAUCAACAGUAAGUACAUCUAAAAAUAUGAAAACAGUGCAAGAUUUAAUUUACGAUAGAAAAAGAACUCCACCUCUUUUAGCUCGUCGAGUUUGAGGUAAGAUUUGGAAGCGUUGCUAUCAGUUGCGUGCUUCUAAGUAGGGAUUAGAGGGCCAUAUAUAUAUAUAUAUACACACAGCGUGUAAUAAAUGGGUAUGAGCAAAUUUAAGAAGAGUUAAUACAGUUUUGCUAAUCAUUAAUUACUUUAAUAAAUCACUUUCAAAGUUUUCAUAUUAUUAGCUAAAUUUCGAUUUGAAUAAAGUUGUUACUGUAACUACCAUUCAUAAUUUCAUUUAUUAAAAUUACUUUAAGAAAACAACAACAAUAGGCUCUUUUUAAACAAAAAAAAACAGGCUCUUUAAAUAUUUUCCAUUCUAGCCCCCCACUUGUGAGGAAAUUAAAAAAAAAAAGACAAAAUGUUUUUUUUUAUUCAAUCAAUUAUUAUAUUUUAAAAAUUACAACUCAACUUUUUUAACCAACAAAAUCACCCUUUGUUAGACCAUCUCCAAUAUCUUACUCUAUUUUUUACUCUAAAAUAAAGUAACUCUAUAACAGAGUUUGAGUUUGUUCCAAUGGUAUUCUAUUUUAGAGUAAAAAAUAGAGUGAUGAACAAUAAAAACAAAUUACUCUAUAUUUGGAGUAACCCUAUUUUUCAUUCUAUUAUAGAGUGAGAAAUAGAGUACCAUUAGAGCAUUUUUUACUCUAAACUAUAUUUGAGAGUGAAAAAUAGAGUGGAGUUGGAGAUGCUCUUGUACACGACGNNNNNNNNNNNNNNNNNNNNNNNNNNNNNNNNNNNNNNNNNNNNNNNNNNNNNCGCUAUUCGACCAAAAAAAGAAAUAUAUACAACGCUUAAAUACGAAUUUGGAUGUGAAUUUCUUUUUUUUUUCUUGGAUGUCAAAUUUCUUAAUAUAUGACAUUAACGUUGAGAUGUCAAAUCUUUUGCUAAAAACCCAAAACUUUAAAUCUAUAUAGUCCCCGGUUCCAAUUGCAAACGAAAUUUACACCAAUGGGUGUCUAUGACAAUAUUAUGCUGUUGAAAUAAGAUUUUUUGAAACCAUAAUUAUCUCGAUCUCUAUGAAAUUUAUUUUUUUACCACAUAAAAUUUUGAAAAUGAUGAAGUUAAAUGAUUAAUUUGGGUCCUAUGUAAGGAAAACAAAUUUUUGAGGCAGUAACAUAAUUCAGAUAAAGUUAUGUAAUUUUAUAUAAUUUUCUGAAAACAGACUAAUAUAUGGGUAUUUUGUCAAAUUUUAUUUUGGAAGUUUAUGUGUGAUUAUUACCAACAAGUUACAACAGUUAAUGCCACGUGUAAGUCAUGGAGAGCCUAUAAAAUUUUCAUAUCUAUCUAAACAUAUGUUUUGCCACUUGUAAGUUAAUGAAAAGCUAUAAGUCUCUCAUAUCUUUUUAAGUAAAAUUUAUAAAUUAUUAAGAAAAAAAUUGUGCCGGGUGUAAGUCAUGGAGAGCCUAUAAAUCUUUCAUAUGUAACUAAGAAAGCAUAUGACCGCGUGUAAGUCAUGAAGAGCCUAUAAACCUUUCAAAGAUGGUAUCUUGAAUAACAAUAUUGUCGCGAACGUUACAAAAAUUGCCUUUUAAUGCUAAACUUUGUUCUUCACUCUGAGUUAGUUUGAGCUUAAUAUUUCACUUUUUGUUUGUUCUUUUCUUUAAUUGACUUAUCUUUCAAGGUCAGAAUCUUUAUAUCAACAAGAAAUUGAGCAGAUAUUACAAUAAACCAAAAACUAGUAGACCUUAAAAUGCUAAUUAAUUGGCUGAUUACAUGAACUCAUACCUCGAGAUAUUAUAUGGGAAAAAAAGAGAUAUUAUAUGGGUUAUCAUUACAUAAAAUGGAGGGAAUCUUGUAUCUGACGUUCAAAAGAUUGCCUAUCGUUUUAAUGUGAAACAUAACUAUGCAAAGGCACUAAACAUUACAUUAAUUCAGAAAGAAGUACAAAAUUAAAUUCGCUAAUGUAUCAAGCCGAAUGCAUAUAGUGUCCUGUAGUUUGAAUUUUGUUCAAGUAGUCUGCCUUGGGUUCGAGAGUUUAACUGAAAUGUACAUAUAAGAGUGUUGUUGAUGUAUAGAUCGCACGAAACAAAGAGUGCUGCAGAAGAAUGUCAAAUAAAUCUUUAAGAGAAGUUUGAUAUCUUCAAUCUAGGAAUGUUCUUAUUUACCUUCACAUAUAUGGUUUUGUUGUCGGAACUAUCUAUGCGAAUGAAACAAGUUCUUAUAGGACUAUCAUAGACAAAUCUUUUUUUAAUAUACCAAUGAUCGGUUUAAUUAAAACAAAUGCCCGAUAUGUUGUUAAUAUUUGUUCUAGUUUAUUUCGAUGCUUCUAAUUCUUCACAUUUAAUUUCAAAUAUAAAAUAUUCCCACCGGUUUGGAAUUGUGCAGACAUAUUAAAAACAUUUAAUUUUAUACAUUUUCUUAACAGAAACAUCAUAAACUAUAUAACUAACCAUAAUUAAACUAAUAAAAAUCAAGUUGCAUAAUAUAAGAAGUCAUAUAGCAUACAAUCAUUAAAGUUAACAUUAAAUUUGAAAACAUCAUGUAAUUUGAAACAAAAAGUUUUCUUCAAAACAUCAUCUAUUUAAAAACAAGGGGAGGGGGUAUAGUUUUAUUUUAGUUAAUUAAUGUAACCAUGAACCAAGUUAUUCACUCUUUUCUUCAGAACGUCAAGUUAUUAAAUAUAUGUGUAUAGGCUGUUGACAAAAAAAAGGUGUAUAGGCUACGUGCAGGUUGUUGCGGCACAUGGUGGUUUCUUCUCUUGGACUAGGGACGUAAAUUUGUUAGUUCAUAUAAUUUGUCAUCACAUAAACGUGUACCCACUUCAUCAUUUUACAUGUAACGAUUUCCAGUAGAUCACUUACAUGAGAAACUUCUUAUUUUAUAACUCUGUUUACAUUUCAUAUUUCUUUCUGCCAGUUUUUCAAUUGCAUAAAACAAUCUGGCAUUAACCGUUUGUAGUUUGUCCACCAAACGUCAAUUUAAAUCUUGCAUGUUGAGAUUACACUUUGAACACAUAAAUGUGCUAGAAAAUAUUUGUUAAAAAUUGCAAAUAUUAAUGAACAAGUACUCCUCAUUACUAGAGAAAAUGGGCUCUUCUGGCACAACAAACAAGACAUUUGCAUUAUGUGUUCCUCUUUGAGAACGAUCGGUGAUUUUUACAGAACUUGGCUUCCAUCAUUCUUCUUCUUCAUGUAACAAAAACAAAUCUCUAUAUACAUUUGUAAACACAUACACACUUCACUCUUGGGAUUCUCCUGGUGGCUCGCUCUCUUCGUCAUACAUAGACUCAUCAUAUCUCCGAAGUGAAUCAAGACUGCAAACAAACAAAAACAAUCAUGAUUUCCUUAAACAAUCGCUAGUAGAAAUAAAACAAGAUGGAUUCAAAUUUAAAAAAAACCUGCAAUUCUGAGGAACUUUCCAAGAGAAACCAGACUCCUGUUUAAGAUGAAGUGGUAAAGCCAUAAAGUCUCUCCAAUCUUGAAGCAUGAUUCUAAGAUCAUGAAGCUUACUAUCCAUACCAAAGCAGCAAUUCGCAUGCAUGGUACGAACCAGAUUCAUAUCUUUGCUUGGUUCACAGAGUCCACCAAAAUACGCCGUGUUCAAGAACCUAAUCCUAAGCCCGAUCCGGAAAACAAAAGGCUCCCUCUUGAUGAAGUUAAGAACGUCCUGGUCGUGAUACCCCGAGUACCUGAUCCGUGAAGCGUACCAGUACUUGUAGAAGAGUAUAGUCCUGUUGUUAGACCGCACAAAGCUAAACCCUCCGUUAGGUCUAUUCUCUAAAUCAUUCGACCUUCCUAAGUAAUGGUCACAAGCGAUCUGGAAGUCAGCGUAUCUGUAAAACCGCGUAAAAGGGUUCCUGAACCACAUCACAUCAGCAUCCUGGAGAAGCAAAGAAAACCAAAUCAUUUUCAAGAACAUGAAACCUGAACACACUCGUUCAAGAAAAUGUUUAUACCGUGAAGACAAAGUUGUAACCCAGUUCAAGAACAGAACGCAAGAAAUCGAUUCUUCUCCACAUCAUCUUCAAGUAAGAACGAGUCAUGAAGUAAGCCUCCUUUCCCGAGAAAUCAACACCUUCUGUUUCGAGACUGAAGCAAUGCUUGUGAAGCUCUCGGCAACGGGAGUAAGCUUUAGCAUCCAGAGCAAUGAUCACCAAAUGGUUUAAAAGCAUGCCUGUUCCUUCACCGAUUCGAAAACUCUCGAAGAAGAGAUCGAUAACAGAGCCAGGAGCAGCCCAAGCUUCGUUCAAAGUCGUUAGAAUCACAGUGUUGUCUCGAGUUGCAGCUCUACGAAGAACAUCUUCAAGCUUAGGCUCUUCAAGCUCCUAACAUCAAGCUUAGGUUUAGAUAACAUCUUCAAAUCAAGAGAUCAAACUCAAAUGCUAACUUAGUUUCUAAAUUUGGGAACCGAUCAAAGCCUAAAUCAAGAAUCGUACUCUACAUUCGUCGAAUUUCAAAAUGUUCUGGUGACAAUGUGAAAGCGAAGAGGAGGAAGAAGCUAACCAGAGACUGGAAGGAAUCGAAUGAGGGGAAAAUGCGAGAGAAGAUCGAGGAGGAGGAGCGAGGGACGGCGUCGAGGGAAUCAAGGGAUCGGUAGAGGACGAAGAUGGAGAUGGAAAUGGCGAGGAUGAAUGUAACGGCUCGGCGUAGGGGACGGGAGCACGGCGGCAUGACGAAAGAAGCUACGGCGGAGGAGGAGCGGUUAGCGUCGAGGGACGAAACGUGGAGCUUCGUCAUCGUCUUGAGCCUCGAGGGAAGACGGUGCGAUAGAUUCAUCUACACCGACCAUCGUCGGCACCGACGCCAAAAACUUAAGUUAAUUUUAAGACUUUAUUUGGGUUUUUUCCUUUUUUUUUUACUAUUUUACCUAGAGAAAUUACUGGAUGGAUGGGAUAUCAAUAAAUGAUGUAUAAAUAACUUUUCUCUUCCCUUUUUAAUUUUAAAUCUUCCAGAUAUGAAAUAAAUCAGCAUAUUGUUUUGAUUAUAGUAUGAUUUAAGUUUUGGAAUUGUGUUUUAUUAUUGGGGUUAAAUUUAUUAUUAAAGGUUUCAGUUUGACAUUAACGUUUAUGUAAAUUUUAUUUGUUUUGAUUAUAUCAAUAAAUGUUGUUUAAAAUAACUUUUCUCUGCUAUUUUUCUAAUUUUCGUCAAGUAUAAACUUCCAAAAAUGAAAAAAAAAUCAGCAUCUUGUCUUGAUUAGGAUUUAAGUUUUGGCUCUGUGUUUUAUUAUUGGGUUAAAUUCAUUAUUACAGGUUUCAGUUUGAUAUUUAGUGUUUAUGUAAAUUUUAUUUUCAAGAUUUGCUCCAUUAACUUUAAAUCUCUGAUAAACAAGAAAUCCUAGGAGUUUAACAACAAAAUCAUCUGAAAUGUUUUCACUGGGACUAAUCUAAGCAGACAGAUAUUUAUUUACUGGUUUCAACUGCUGAGGAGAGAAACUGAAAGAGUAAGGUUGAGAUCAAUCUUUGGUGAAGAAGAAGCAAAGCAAUCUUUGAAGACGAAUGGUGCAGAACAAGUGGAGACUGCUUCACUCGUUUCGCUCACUGAUGACCCGUUGCUUCUCCAUUGAUGAUGGUUCAAAGACAGAGACAGCGACAAAUCUUCCUCUUCUUGUUCUUUCCCACUGUUCUCCCAUUUGUUCUUCUCCUUCUCUGUCUUCUAUUGAGGACAAGACAAACAAAUAAAUCAGCUUCUAAACCGGACAAGAUUCGGAUUGUGUUACCCCAAUUUCAAUAAACCUAAAAAGUUAUAAUAAACCUAAGCCGGAAAAAAAUCUGAGUUCUAAUGAACCUUAAGUUCCUAUGACAACUAGGUAACUAAACCGGACACGACUCGAUUUUUAAAUUUCACCCAGUUUCAGUCAAACCGGUUAAGACAGCAAAUCAAAAUCUAAUGUCCAAUCUAGAAUCGAAGGAGAAACAUUAUUGAACCGGCCUGGAUUUAAUUUUGCUUAGGCUUCAAAAUUAAAUCCAAAAGUAUAUAAUGAGAGUAUAUUUUACUUUUUUUUUUCUGAACAACUAGAGUAUAUUUUACUAAUUAGAUGAAACUACACGUUGACAUAAAAGUUAAUAAAACAUACCUUGUGGCAUUGAUGUGAUGGAAACGCCGUCGUUUCUUUCGUCUUCUCCAUGUUUAUGAUGUGAAGAAAGUCAUCAUCAUCAUCACCACCACCAGACUGUGAAGUCUGAUUCUCUCUUCUUCCUCCUCUGUGCCAAAGUAAACAAUAUUAAAAAGUACAAUUCAAAUACAGACAAAAGGGUAUAUUAUGAUAGCUUCACUGAUACAAAAUUAAAAACAUGUCAGAAAAUAUAAAUGAAUAAAAAUUUACCUAAGAGAAGAAUGUGAAGAAAGAGGAAACGAGUGAAACCCCAAAAGACAAUCAUUCCUUGAGGGUAAAGACAAGUUGUCAUGAAGAUAAUCUUCUUCAGUGUCUUGUCUUCUUCUUAUUGAAGAUAAAGAGCUUUCCUCUGUCCCCAAAAAUGAAAAAAUAAUAGACUAUAAUGAAUAUUCCCUUGAUCAAUAAAAAUAAUUUGUUUUAAUAUAAAAGAAAGCUAUAUGUAUUUAUAACAAUUGUCUUAUGAAUCAUGACACUAGACCAAUAGUACAUACUACAAACAGAUGCUGUAAAACAAUUAAAUUCCAUCCAUUAUUAUAGUUUUGAUGUUAACAGUUCAGAUUAAAAUCAGCGGUCCAGUUCUUCUAUAAAUCAUAUCAUUUCAGAAUAUUUAUGGAAAAAAAAAUGGACAAAAAGUCCAUACCUGAUUUGCCCAAAGUGAGUUUAGAACCUCUAUACAUCUGUUGUAUGUGAUGAAAAAAGAAGAGACAGGGAUUUUAAUAUUCAAGAUACUAUGAAAAAGAUAUAAGGCUAAGAGAGAACAAAACUAACGUCAGGUAAAUCUAUUACCUGGAGAUGGCUCUUGACAUGUGAAAUGGUGAGUCCCCUCACAUCCAUCAUCUUAAGAAUAAGCUUUGGAGUGGCUCCUGUUUCAUAAAACCCAACAUAAAUACAACGAGAACAAAAAGAUUAAAAAGGUAACUAUGAUGAUUCUUUAUGUUGACUAUUCAUGAAAAAGGUAAUGAGUAACUUUAAUAUUUUGUAGAGCAUGAAACAUAAUUGCAAAAGUGUGACUUGCGAGCAUGGUUCAGAAACUUGACGAAAAUUAUUCUUGAAGGAUGAUGACAGAAAAUAAUGAGAAAUUUUCAAACUUUGGACGAAAUAUCCAAAAAAAUAAUAAUAAAAAACUCCAAACUUUAGAUAUAGGAAUGAAACAAAGUAGCAAAAGUAUGAAGGCAUCGUUCAACAACUUGACAAGAUGAUAAAAAUGUUUAUACUUAUUAGAAAUUCCCUAACAAAUCCAAACUUGAAGACAUAUGGAUGAAACAAAUUAGCAAAAACUGUGAGGUUUGGUUCAAAAACUUGACAAAACAAUGAGAAAAUUCCAAUCUGUUUCGAAAAAGAUCCAAAAAUUCAAAACUUAAAAUAUAUAUAUUUAAGUGAAACGAAGUAGCAAAAAGUGUGAAGCUUUUCUUCAAAAACUUGAAUAAAACAAAGUAACAAAAGGUUGCAUUUUUGUCGAAAUAUUGAAGGAGAAAAGAAACGUACUAUGUUGGCCACCAAGCAUAUCGACGGCGUUUAGGAAACAACGGUGGAGCUCCGGCGUCCAUCUGAGUCGAGGCACUGGAGACCGUACGUAUGGCCUAACUCUGCCGCCUCCGUGACCGUUAAAGCCAACGUCGUUGCCGUUUCUUCCACCACACGUACCCAUUCCUUCACAAAUCAGUCUCAAGAACCCUAAAACGUCUUUUAGAUUUGGAGCACAGAAACCAAGAACAGAAGACAGAGAAACGUAGGAAAGGAUUUGUGGGUAUGUGUUGGAUUUAAAAGAGCAAGUCUCUUUUGUUUUCUGAAAUGGUUUUGGCUUUUUCUAAAAGAUGACUGUCUCUUUUUCCAUCUAUUCUUUUUGUCUUUUUGAAUGCACUCAUACAUAUAUAUAUAUAUAUACACCCCUCUUUACAUAUAUAUCUGCAAAAUGCCAAAAACUAAUUAUUAGACCUUUUUAGAAAAGGUUCAUUCAUUUUUAUUUGCCGGAUAUUCCAUUGUAGUUGUGUUUAAACUGGAAUUGUAAUUGAUUUAUGUUUCGAUUUUGGAUUUUGUUUGAUAUAUAGUUUAGAUUUAAUUUGAAAUAUUAAAUUCUAAGUAAAAUUUAAUAUCAUUAGAAAUUUUCUGAUUUGAGCAUCAUAUAAAAAACAUUAACACAAUUUGGAUAAGGGCAAUUGUCAAUAAUAGCACCUUUUGAAAUUUAUGUCUCAAAAAUAGCAUUAGAAGGAGAAAGUCACAAAAAUGACAUUCAUUAAAGGGUAAAAUAUCCCUAAUACCCUUGGUUUAAAAUUAAAUAAACAAACAAAAAUAAAUAAAAAUAAAUAAAAUAAAAAUGAAAAAAAUGAAAAAAAGAUUUUUUUUUAUAUAGUUUCAGAUUAUAUGUUUUCAGAUUCGAAAUUUUUACAAUUUUUUUUUCUCGAAAUUUUUUAUUUUUUUUUUCAAAUUUUAUUUUUAUAAUUUAAAAAUACUUUUUAAAACUGUUUUUAAAAUUUUUUUUUUUAUUUUAAUAUUUUUUUUUUAUAAAAUUUUAAACCCUAAUUCCAAAACCCCACCCCUUAACUCUAAACCCUAAGGUUUGGAUUAAUUAACCCAAGGGGUAUAAAUGUAUAUUUACCUCUUUAAUGAAACCUAUUUUUGUGACUUUGAACCUUGAGUGCUACUUUGGGAACAUAAACUUGGUUUGGUGCUAUCCUAGUCUUUUUCUCUUUGGAUAAUUAUAUUUACAAAUCAAAAUUUGAAUCAAAUUAUGUAAAAUAUUAUUUCAGCUUAAGAAAAUCUAAAAAAAAACGUAAGAAAAUCUACACUGAAAAGAGCUAAAACCAUAGGUUUAUGAAUUGUUCACGACAUACGUGAAGAUUUGGCGAUACUCAGAUCUCGUAAAGACAUUUUUUUUUUAUAACGAAGGUAUAAAAAGUAACCAGCUGGAAUGUUUUAGUGUUUUUAUUUGGUACUUUAUAAAUUUGUUUAUUAAGAAAAACGAGGUGAGAUUUGUUUUUUGACGUAGCUACAAGGACAUAGCCAUAUAUAAUCUACAAAAAUGGUAAUUAUACGAAAAUUGUUUUGGCUUUGGUUACAUCAGCCUUGACUCUUGACCCCAUUAUUAUUAUUAUCUUAAAAUAUAUAAAUAGUUUAAAGAGAUGCAUAUCAACGUACCAGAGAAUCAGAGAUAUCUACACAAGGCUAUAAUAUACAACUUGCAUGCAAAAAAAGAACUGACUACUUUUGAUCAUCCAAUACUAAUCUCUUGUCUACACAUGGGUCUAUAAUAUUUACCUUGUAGGGAUUUGAGAUUUACCCCAAUGAACAAGUUUCGUCUAACACUUCAUCAGACUUUUUACUCGCUCUUUUUCACCAUAUAUUGCCCCAAAUUUAUAUAGGCCAGCUGCUGCUAAGCUUUGACCAUAGCAUUAAUAAUUGUUCCUAUUUUUGUUUUUCGUUGGGGUUUCGUGUUUAACUUUCUGAUUUCAGAAACUUACAACGGUCCUUCCUAAUAUCUUUUGGACCACCGUUUUGACUUCGUUCCCUCCCCCCCUAAUUCUCUAUUAUUAUUUGUGUUCUCUCAUUUCCCAUUCAUUUUGUUUCUAUAUAGGUUAUUGCCUACGGUUUUGGCACAUCUAAAUAUUCUAUGAAAAGUUAUAUAUUUACAUUGCAUAUUGUAUCUUUUCGAAUAAUCAUAAGUAUUAACAAAAUCAACGUUAGAUUUUAAAUAGUUGAAAAUCAAAACUCCUGAAGUCCUAGAAGAGAUUUUAGAUCUAAUAAUAACUCUAUAAACUUUAAUCUAAAAGGAUAAAGAUUUUUCUUUGACAUAACUUAUGGUUAACUCAAAAUGAAUGAACCAGAAAUUAUUUUAGAACAUUUUCUUAUCCAUAACAACUCUGCCAUCUCAACAUGUAAAACUGAGAGACUUCUGAUGUAUCCACUGAAUCCAAAUGAUUCAACAUCCAUUAUUUUGAUCUUUAAAACUCUACAAUAAACCACUAACUAGGUCACUGUUGAUUCAUGAAUCAUCAAUUUGACAAGUUAGGAAGUAUUCAAGAAAUCAAUUUGACAAGUUAGGAAGUAUUCAAGAAGACAGCCUCAAUGAAAGGAUCAUCAGGUUUCUUCUUCUUCUUUCUCUUUAAGAUUUGCCUUUCUCCAGUAUUUUUUCAAGAGAAGCAAAUUUUAAAAGUGUUGACUAAGAGGUGUCUUUUCCAUUAAAAAUUUUAUCAUUCGUUAUUUUCAAAUGUAUCAAAUGGUUCAUGUGAUAAUAUCAAAUUGUGGUUCCACUGAAAACAUCUAUUACAACAAAAUUUUCUUCUAUAUUUUUCUUUGUAAUAAAAACCUGUAAAAUAGAGAUGAGUUAGAAAUGCUUUUAGGCCAUAUAUAAUUAAUCAUUUCUCCAGUUUUCUAUCUAGGGAUCCAAUUAACUUGUGAUAAUUUUUAAUUUAAUUACAAAAUUCUGGAUCUUAAUAGGUUCUCUUGUCCCGAAUAAGUUCGUUUCAAAUCAACUUCUGAUAAUACUUUUAGUGAGCAUAAAUCAUCCCUCGAAAAAAUAUUAAAGAAUACAGUAUAUGUAAUCUCAGUCCCUCCUUUUACCAACACCGUCCGACUACAUGCAUGUCUUAUAAAUUCCAUUCGGGACAGAUUUCAUACUAGUAGUAUUUCCUUUACAAAAAUCAUAAUACUUUAUUAAUUAUCCCACGGUUGGUUACUCGUUACUCACAUUACGUGUACGAUUUCUCGUAGUAUUAUAGAUAAUAGAUUCCAAGUUAUUUAUAAGACAACUCACACGUGGUUUCGCGCUAUCAAGAAGUGCAAAAAAAUUUGAAAGCCUUUUUUCAAUAAAAAAAAGAAGUGCAAAAAAAUAUGAAUAUUAAUUUAAGAGGAUAAAAUAAUAAACAAACUUAACAAAGUUAUUUAUUGAAAAAAAAAAAACUUAACAAAGUCGUCGUCUUUUUAUUUUAAACAAAACUAAGACCUUUACCCAAGGAAAAAAACAUAAAUCAGACACAAUCAAAUAGAGGUGUCAUUGACCUUUAACGUAGACUACUAUGCUCUCUCUCCCUUUUCUUCUCAUUCAAUACAUUCUCUAUAUUAUUAUAAACAUGUGGAAUUCUGCGUAUAUACCAAAUCGCUUUAUAUACCAAAUCGCUAAAGCGAUUUAAGAGAAUUUAAACAAUGAUGCCCCAUGGUUGAGAAAAGAUUAAUGUUUGAUUAGACGGUAAUUGCUAAUUAGAAUAUUAUAUUCAGUCACCAGCUUUUCAAAGAUACCGAAGUUACGUAUAUUAUCUAUAUAUUCACCAGAAGAAUGUUACAGAAAGCUAGGUUAUGAUCAUUGUUCAAAAUAAAUAAUCAAAAGAGAGACAAUACAAAUGAUCAAACUAUUGGACUAAGAUAACAAAGUCUCAAAAAGGCUACAACUUGAGAGAUUUGUAGCCUUCUUGUAUUCCUUAUAAAACACUAUUAACAUCCAAGACUACAAAAAUUUCUGGAUCAUAUUUCCUAAACUGAUAUUUAAAUUAACUGUCAUAUGGUUCACCCGUCAUGCAUAGACUGUUGAAGUAAACACUGAAAUAUUUUUCCUAAUAUAUAAACGGAAGUAGUUAAAAAGAAUGGUUUUUCCUAAGGUUGUAACUAAUAUAAAUACUGAUUAUUUGUAUGCCAAAUCGACUAUUUAUUAAAAUUAACGCGCUUUCGCUUUAGACUAUAUAAUAAAAUUUACAACACAAACAAUAAAAGAGAACAAAUUCAAGGUAUUGUGAUAUAAGUUUCAUUCAGUGAUAAAAAAAUAAGGAAAAGUGGGAUAAAAAAAAUGAAAACAAUACAUUUAAUGAGUGUGGCAGUUGACAAAUAGCUCCAAGAGAAAUUGAAUGAGUAAAUUGACUGUAGAGGUCCAUGAUUCAUGGCUUUACCAAAAUCAAAACAUUCAAUAGUUCUCUUUGUUUGUUUGUUUAUCAUACCAAGACUUUAUACAUAUAUGUAAAGAUAAUGUAACCCAACUGGAUUUGGAUACCAAAACGAUGAAAUUCUCUUUUUUUUUUGUUAUUUGGAUGUGCAAAUCUCACCAAACUAUAGAUUUGAUACCUGUUAAUAUUUAUUUUUUUGGGGGGUCAAUAUUCUCAUCACCCACUGAUUAAGUUCAGUCAUAGACUCAUAGCACAUGCGAGCACAAGGCAAAUUCCGAGACAAUAAAUAAAUAAUAUAAAAAGGGUGCAAUCCAUAAAACACCUAGAGAGAAGGGAGAAGAAUUAGCCCUUCACACUUGAGAACAGUAAACAGAAGAACAAAAGUGAAAGAUAGUAGUUUUUUUUUUUUUGUCAUCUGGUAGAUUUAUAUUAACUUGAAAGGGGAGUACACAAAGCCAGCAAAGAUGAUUAAACCUUUCUGGAGCCAUAAGCCGGUGAGGUGAUGAACACCAUCCGGAGGCACAGAUUGAUACAAAUUUGAAACUAGAAACUAGACUAGAUGAAAGCACAUAAGAGGAGGAUGGUUAAGAUACAUGAGAUUGCAACAAUGGUGAAGUUGACUGGAUACGGACGAUGAUUAGAGAGUGAGAGCAGUGCACACCUAAUUAACUGAGUUUCAAGGUAGUAUCCAAGAGCGCUUCCAACAGCGAAACCCGCUCCAACACCACACAAAGAACUACCGGAAACUCAAUCACAAUUAACACACGCUGAGAAGAACAAAGAAGUAGACUGGAGGAACAAGAACAUCACCAAAACAUAAACUGAAUCGCGAGAGGUUAGAAUCCUUAACCGUAGCUGAACACACUCUUCAAUCCCAACUUCAACUCGCCAUUGGACCUUGAGAGGGCUCUCUACGCGCCUCAUACGCACCAACUCCUUGCCGUAAAAACUUUUAGGAACUUACGACUUAUUCACACAGCCGGUAACUGGAUAAAAACCACUCGAAAUCCAAGACUAAAACGAUCACCUCGGUGGAAAUCGACCAACAAUGAAGCAUUUGUUCUGUUACACAUCUAUCUCCUUCUGAUCCUCUCAGAGCUAAAGAAUCGCACGCACAGGCUCUGCCCAUCAAAGAUCAAACAACCACCAGAGAUGGCUCCAACGAACCGAGACUGCACUCCCAAGACUAAGCAAAACUCCAAACCACAACCGCAGCUAAACCUCACGCAUCCCUCCUCAAUGGCCAUCACCAAUGACAUUGCUAGGGUUUGGGCCUCACCGAACAGAGAAAAUUGGGACACCAAACCCUAAGCCAACUAAAUCCGACCCCCUACAGACCCUCCUAAGCUCCUACAACUCACCUUCACUCCAGAUUGAAAGAGAGAAGCUUCAAAUCGAGAUCUGACGACCAGAUCUGAAUGACUCCGUCAACUUCCGUCACCAGGGCGAGAAGCAUAUCACCGAAGGAGAAGAGAGCUGGCAGGGGGCAAAGAAACAAGAACCAACGGAGCCGUAACCGACGCACGCGCCGUCACGGCCAGAGUGAGAUGAGAUCUACGAUGUCUUCACGGGCGGCGCACUUUCAGAAUAUUUUCACAACUUAAGAGAUCCAAUAUUUAAAAUUGUGAAAGAUAGUAGUUUAAAAGUGUGAUUUAGGAAUGGAUGGGCCACAAAAGUCUAAUAUAUAAAUUACAAAGACAAAGUUUAAUGCAUGGCUAUGUGAAAAGUUUAGAGUAGUGAGUGCAUAAUUAUUGGAAGUAGGACCAAACAACUCUUGACUUUUCAUCCUUCGGGAUUGGAAUUUAGGUUUAAUAUGUUUUCUUAGCAUAACCUCUUUUUGUUUCAAAAAAGCAUAACCUCUUUUAUUCUCUCAUUCCAUGUUUUUUGGCCUUCUCAUCAUAUAUCACGGAGAUACGCUACAAAGUAGUAACAUGUGCAUCCAUCUACACAUUCGUAUAAAAUAAGUUAAAUUGUAGAUUAUUAUAUGAAAGUUAAUAUUUAGGGUCAAAUAUAGGGGAUUUCGCUUAUCUUGUUGAAGACAUAGUUGACAAACGAAAAAUGUUGAAGACAAUUUUUUGGCUGAAUAAAUUUAACUCGAUGUAAAUGUGGAACCUAUAGAAAAGCAAUUGUUUAUAAUUGGCUGAAUAAAUGUAUAACUCGAUGGUUGACAAAAAAAAAAUAUAACUCGAUGAAGACGAUUGUCUACAAAAUUUAGCAAAAAAAAAAAAAAAAAAACGAUUGUCUAUAUUAAAUAUAAUUGGCUGAAUAAAUUUAACUCGAUGAAAUUGUUUAUAUUGUAUAUAAUAUGUUCCAUUUUCUCUCUCUCAAAGAUUAAAGAUAGAAAAACGAACAAAAAGAUGAGUGUUUGCAUCUUAUUUUUUUUCUUUCUGUGAAACAGUUUCACAAAGUUAAACAAGAGGAAGAAAAAAAACGAAAAGAGAGAUAAUCUUUGAACAUCUGAGAAUGUAGCAACAAAUUUUUCAUCACCAACAAGAAGAAAAUACUGAAAAGCAGAGCCCCACCUUCUUCACAGUUCCAGAGAUUCCCUGUCCAAAUAUUUCAGAGUAUGAAUUAGGACACAGAAGAAGAAUGAGCAAAAGAGUCAGGUGAAACAAAAUCAUUGACAUGCUAGAGAAUCUCAGACCAAACAUUUAGUACGGGUGUCUGUCUAUAGAGCAGAGAAACACCCGUUACUGUCAAAUCAUAGUGGCAAGGACAAUGAACAUUGUAGUACUCAAUGGCAAGUGAGAAGGUAUAAAUAAAGAGAAUAUUCAUGUAGCUGUUGUGACACUGACCGACAUAUGCAUAUACAAUCCACCGAAUCAAGGAGUGUGUAUCUGCUUUGCAGAAUCUUUAAACCAGAAGAUGUUCAGACACAGGCCUAAAUCUGUAGUGAGUGCUGUAAUUUCACAAUGCUUCUUACAGAUUCAUAUAAGUACAACAUAGUGACUAGCCACGAUAUCUAAGAGACAGUUUACAAGUUCAAACAUUGACCAAGCAUAAGAGUUUGUAAGCCUAGAAGUGGGAUAACAUAAAUGUUCAGAGGAAUGUAUCUUCUGAACAUAUGCUAUAUGCAUAUAUAAUCAACCAAAUAAAGGAGUGUAUCUUCUUGCAGAAUCUUUAAAGCAGAAGAACAGAGCUAAGUGUGUAGUGCGUGCUGUAAUCACAAAGCGUCCUAAGGAUUUAUAAAUAGCAACACCAAAGUAACUAUAGCCAUGAUAUCUGAGAAACAACUUACAAGCUACUACUGAGUAGUACUUUAAGCUAAAUUGAGUGCAAAAAGAACUCUCUAGGACUAACAAAACCUGCAGAGAGUCGAGUUAACGAUGGAACUAGGCUUAUCCAAACUUGAGACAUCACUGAUUGAGAUGGCUUACAAGAACAAACAAAUGCAAAGAAGAACAAUUCGUCAAAGAAGACUCUUUCCUCAAAACUGAAUCCAAUAUUAGUCAAAUGUUCAAAUCUAAACACCAACCAAUCUCAUUCAAUUCGGAACCAAACCUAAACCGAAAAAUGGAACCACGAAUAUCUAAUUCAAUCAAAUCACCAAGAAGACCCGAUGAACCGGAGACUAAGACACACAUUAGUGCGUUCUGUGAUUCUUCAUAAGGAUUUAGCAAGUAACACGAAGUGACUGUAGCCUAUCUGUGACACAAUUUACAAGCUCACACAAUAACCAAGCUUAAGGCUUUCAAAGCCUACAAGUAAGAGAACAUAAAUCAAACAUAAUAUAUAUAGUCUAGCAAAUUUGAGCUGCGUCCUGUUAAUCAGCGAAUCUCUUCUUCCGGCUUAGUAAAAAAGCAGAAGAACAGAGCUAAGUGUUCAUUGCCUGCUGUAAUCACAAAGAUUCCUAAGGAUUUAUAACUAACAACCCCAAAGUAACUGUAGCCAUAAUAUCUAAGACACAAUUUACAAGCUCACACACUGAUAGUGUUAAUUACUUCCUACUUAAAGACUAAUGUAUUAAGCUUUUGAGUGUAACAGGAAACAAGACUAACACAACCUGCAGAGAGUCGAGUUAACGAUGGAACUAGGCUUAUCCAAACUUGAGAUAGCUUACAAGAACAAUCAAAUGCAAAGACGAACACAUUUCUCAAGCAUGAUUGAUCCAAAAAAGGCUUAUGCUUGUGGUGUAAAAGAAGACUCUUUCCUCAAAACUGAAUCCAAUAUUAGUCAAAUGUUCAAAUCUAAACACCAAACAAUCUCAUUCAAUUCGCAACCAAACCUAAACCGAAAAAUAGAACCGCGAAUAUCUAAUUCAAUCAAAUGGAACCGGAGACUAACCGGGAAGCUGGAAGAUCGAACCGAGGAGGGGCUACGCAUUAGCGGUCUUAGGGAUAAGAGGAACACCGUUCCCUUGUAGCUUACUCUGUUUAGCCUUGGCUUCUUCCUCGCGGAUCUUCUGCAUCGCGAGCAUCCUCUCCAUCACGAGCUCGUACUCGCACUUCUCGUACACGUGGCGCUCGUCCUCGCACUUCCACGGGAGGAAGAACUCAGCCUGGCGACAUUUGUUGAGCGGCAUCAGGAGAUGAGCGCACUGAUCUCUGUAUCCGAGCGGUACUUUGGCUGCCACCAUCUCUUCCUGCGUUGCGAUCAUCUUCUUCGAUGAACCUGGAACCUCCAUUUUCCUCUCGCGAUCCCUAACCUCUCUCCUUCUUUCUCUUUGGCGACUCCGAUUUGCUUGACCCGGACAUACUCAGGUUUUUUUUGUUCCGGGUCAUAGUUUAAAUGGGCUCAAUUGGUAUACUAAGCCCAAGUUUUAUUCAAUGGUCUUUUACAUUUUUUCGACAACAUUUUAAGUUAUAUACAAAAGAUGAACGAACCACUGAUGGUGGAUUCUGAGAACUGGUCUUUACUUAGCCAAAAAAAAAAAUCAUAAACUUUUAGUUUGAUUUAUUUUAGCAUUCAAUUGUUAAUUUUUUUUUAUUUUGAUCUUGUUUUUACUAAAUUGUUUUAGAUAUACAAAAAUCAACUGUUAAAUCGAUUUUAGCAGUUAAUUUUUCACUUAUCUAAAACGAUUUAGUUUUAAAAAAAAGAUUAAAUAAACGAUUUAAAAGGUUAAAAGUGACAAUGUCUCAAGUGAAAACUUCGCAUUUUUUCUUUUUUAAAUUUCAGUAUCUGGUGGUUUUCUCAAACAACAUACUUUUCGUUUUUUUUUCUUAAUAUAUAUUUCAUAUAACAUGCAUAACUUGUAAUCUUGUGUACAUAUACUAAUUUAACACUACAAAAUUUAGAGAGUUAUCGACUUGUUGGUUAAAAGAUUGUAAUUGAUUUAACACUGCAAAAGCAAAUGUGAGAAGACUGUUUGGAACUGAAAGAAACGAGUACACAAACAGUUGUUCUUUUAAACAAACACAAUUUACACAAGAAAAGAAACAAACUUUGUAUGUAAUGGAAGGAGAGAGAGAGAAAGAGAACAACCACAUUAUAACUUGGACGCCUUCUUCUGCUUAUACCUAGCGGCAGAGAAGAAGUAAACCGCCAUGUUCACAAGGCUAAGCCCAGCCAAAAGCCAGAAGUAGUAAUCAAGAUGACCCGAGUUCAGAUUAUCCGAUAUCCAACCUUGUUCACCGUUCCUCGUCGUGAAAUAAGUCACCAGCGUGAGGAUCAACGAACUCAAGUAGUUCCCAAGAGCAUUAGUCAAAAGAGCCAAAGCACUGCACAAGCUCCUCAUUGCAUCUGGAGACUGAUCAUAGAAAAACUCAAGCUGUCCUAUGAAGUAGAACACUUCCGCCGCACCGAGGAUGAAGUACUGUGGGAUCUGCCAUAACACCGAUAUGGGGACAGGAGCUCCAGACUCAACCAACCCGAGCUCGUUGGCUAAAUGGAGCCUGAUGAUCUCGACAAUCGCUGCAGCUGCCAUACAGAGAACAGAGACGAACAGACCAACCCCCAUUCUCUGUAUCUCAGUGAAUCCUUUGUCUACUCCAGUGAACCGUCUAGCUAAAGGGACGAUGAACCUGUCGUAGAGAGGAACCCAGAUGAUGACGCUAGCUGUGUCAAACGUCCCGAGCGCUGCAGGAGGAAGCUGGAAAGAUCCUAUUUUGCAGUCCAUGGCUCGGCCUUGUUGAACAAACAUUGUUGACAUUUGUGCGUAUACAGCUGAGAAAAUGAUACCUGAAGCCCAUAUUGGGAACAUUCGUAUCAGAAUCUUGAGUUCUUCGACUUGAGUAACUGUGCAUAGUCUCCACGAGUUGGAGAAGUCUCCGGUUUUGGAUUCUUCUUCUGAGAUAACAGCAGCUUUGUCAAGAUACCUGCAUCAAUAGAGACCCCAUGUUAAACAAAGCAAAGCUAUAUAUAUACUCGUUAGGAUAAUAGAUGUUUUAGAAAAAAAUUUGAUUCACAAAAAUAGAUUUUUUGUGUUUUCUAUGAAAAUGUUGUAAAUUUUUUAAAAAAUUAAUUAAUUUAUUGGUUAAAACUUAUUGAAAAUUGAUAAUAACAAAAAAAAAAUUAUAUAUUUAUUAUAGUGAUUUAAUGUGUUUUCUUAGUAACCCCAAGACCCUUGUCUUAGCUAUCCCUGGAACAAGGGACCUCUAACACAAUGGCAUGGCUCCUUUCAGUUGAGCUAGUAAAGCAAAGCUAUUCAUUCCCAGGAAGAAGAUGAAACUUACUGGCAAUCAUCGGUAUGUUCGAUUUUUCGACUUCCAGCAAUAGCAGAGUUCUUGUCCUGCGUUUCAUACAGAAGCAUUGCGUCUUCAGGGACUGUGAGAGUCGAUUUACGGAACGAGGCCACCACCACUUGGGAGAUCCGAGUGAUAGGGCUGCCUCCAGGCUUCUGAAACCUGUAAAGAGGCGUGCCAAAGAAGAAACUUGCAAUGGCGAGUCCCAUGAAGACGGUUGGUAUACCAAAACCUAAACCCCAGCCGCGGUUCUCUUGGAUCCAGACAAGAAGACUAGAAGAGACUAGCGCUCCAAUGUUGAUGGAGAAGUAGAACCAGUUGAAGAAGGAAGCUUUCUUAACUCGUUCGCGAGAGUCCGUGUCAUCGAACUGGUCUGCACCGAAGGAUGAGACGCAUGGUUUGAUGCCUCCAGUGCCGAGGGCGAUCAGGUAAAGCCCACCAAAGAACAUUGCGUACUGUGCUGGUGUUGCUGAUGGACAGAAAGUGCCAAUGCAUUCCGCUGGCUUUAGUGCCGGAACUGACGCUGAGAGAGUUAGCGCAGACAUGCCCUAAACAAAAAACAGAGCAAAGAAAACCAAAACUCAAACUUCAAAUCAAUUGUGUGAUAAGACACAACCAUUGAAAAGGUGCUUACGAUGAAGUAAAUGCCGGAGAAACAAGCGAUGGUCCAGUAUCUGCCCCAGUAAGCAUCGGCUAAGACAGCACCAAUGAGCGGGGUGAGAUAACAAGUCCCCUGCCAUGUGGUGACGUUUCUAGCAGCGGAAACGUUUCCUUGGUGGAGUUUAGUGGUGAGGUAAGUGAUAAGAUUCCCAGCAAUACCAUAGUAAGCUAGCCUCUCGCAGCAUUCAUUACCUACACAUUAAAAACAUCAUCCUCAUAAGGUUAAGAUACAUAAGGAAUAGGAUUGAAAUGAAACGAAAUGUACCUAAAAUGAAAGGACAAGCUUUCCAGUUGCCUGUCUUCUCCUUGAGUGGUGGGUUUCCAUGAAGGUCCACUGAACCAUCUUGAGCAUACAGUUUUGGUUCCUGGUCAAACAAAAGUCAAGAUUACAUCUUUUAGCCAAAGACCAUUGCCAGUGAACAAUAAUAGCAUCAAAAUAGUUUUAACUACAACAUAAUCUGAUCUGCACUGGCAAAGUUUAUACAUUUGGAAUCAUAAUCACCCUCAAGGGUUAUAAAUAAAUACAUGGAAGGGAAUCAACAGCAAUUACCCAGAAAAAUCUCUCAACAAACAAACAUGCAUAAGAUCAUCAAACUCAAGCUCAAGUCAAGAUUUUUGGAGAAAUGAAAACCCUAAGAGAGAGAGAAAAAUCAAAAUCCAGAUUAACCUAAAUUCAAGCGAUUAGAAACAACAUCUAAGAGCGAAAUUGAUGAUCAAACCUGCGAGAUUAAACCUUCUUCGAUGAGAGGUGAUUCUUCUUCAAUGGAGCCCAUCCUUCUCGCUUCGAUUUAAGAUUCCAUCUUUACUCUUUAUUUAUUUGGAAGACGUGACGUGACGUGAUUGUUUUCUAUUUUAAUUUUCCCCGCGACUUUUUUUAAUUAGUUGUGAAAAUAUUAAAUAAAACGGAUAAUAUAAGAAACAAUUAGAAGCGAACUAAUAUAAUAAGCAAAGUACAACGACAAUCUGAUCUUUUGCGAUAACGAUUUCUCUGCUUCUUGACGACGUAAAGAUAAGACUUGUGGGUCGACUUGUCCAUUUUUUUCAACUUGUAUUACUCUAACCAAGAAACGAUAUAUGUUUAUUUGUUGCUCUGUUUUCAAGUUUUUUUUUAUUUUUUCCAACUUGUAUUUACCCUAACCAAGAAACGAUAUAUGUAUGUAUUUUAUUUGUUUCUCUGUUUUCAAGUUUUUUUUCGUUGCUAUGUCUCUCUCUCAGUCUCUCUUGAAUUAGGACCUGACUGGUUCAAACGCAGCGGUUGCGGUUGCGGUUGCGGGAGUUUGUGGAUGCGGACGGUUACGGUUUUUAGCGAUUUUAAGAGAUUUGUACGACUGGUACUGCGGUUAAAAAUUGGUGCGUUUGCGGGUGACUUAUGACUGGUUAACUACCAAAUGCGGUAACAAUCAAAUAAUAAAUUAACAAUAUUUACAUNNNNNNNNNNNNNNNNNNNNNNNNNNNNNNNNNNNNNNNNNNNNNNNNNNNNNNNNNNNNNNNNNNNNNNNNNNNNNNNNNNNNNNNNNNNNNNNNNNNNNNNNNNNNNNNNNNNNNNNNNNNNNNNNNNNNNNNNNNNNNNNNNNNNNNNNNNNNNNNNNNNNNNNNNNNNNNNNNNNNNNNNNNNNNNNNNNNNNNNNNNNNNNNNNNNNNNNNNNNNNNNNNNNNNNNNNNNNNNNNNNNNNNNNNNNNNNNNNNNNNNNNNNNNNNNNNNNNNNNNNNNNNNNNNNNNNNNNNNNNNNNNNNNNNNNNNNNNNNNNNNNNNNNNNNNNNNNNNNNNNNNNNNNNNNNNNNNNNNNNNNNNNNNNNNNNNNNNNNNNNNNNNNNNNNNNNNNNNNNNNNNNNNNNNNNNNNNNNNNNNNNNNNNNNNNNNNNNNNNNNNNNNNNNNNNNNNNNNNNNNNNNNNNNNNNNNNNNNNNNNNNNNNNNNNNNNNNNNNNNNNNNNNNNNNNNNNNNNNNNNNNNNNNNNNNNNNNNNNNNNNNNNNNNNNNNNNNNNNNNNNNNNNNNNNNNNNNNNNNNNNNNNNNNNNNNNNNNNNNNNNNNNNNNNNNNNNNNNNNNNNNNNNNNNNNNNNNNNNNNNNNNNNNNNNNNNNNNNNNNNNNNNNNNNNNNNNNNNNNNNNNNNNNNNNNNNNNNNNNNNNNNNNNNNNNNNNNNNNNNNNNNNNNNNNNNNNNNNNNNNNNNNNNNNNNNNNNNNNNNNNNNNNNNNNNNNNNNNNNNNNNNNNNNNNNNNNNNNNNNNNNNNNNNNNNNNNNNNNNNNNNNNNNNNNNNNNNNNNNNNNNNNNNNNNNNNNNNNNNNNNNNNNNNNNNNNNNNNNNNNNNNNNNNNNNNNNNNNNNNNNNNNNNNNNNNNNNNNNNNNNNNNNNNNNNNNNNNNNNNNNNNNNNNNNNNNNNNNNNNNNNNNNNNNNNNNNNNNNNNNNNNNNNNNNNNNNNNNNNNNNNNNNNNNNNNNNNNNNNNNNNNNNNNNNNNNNNNNNNNNNNNNNNNNNNNNNNNNNNNNNNNNNNNNNNNNNNNNNNNNNNNNNNNNNNNNNNNNNNNNNNNNNNNNNNNNNNNNNNNNNNNNNNNNNNNNNNNNNNNNNNNNNNNNNNNNNNNNNNNNNNNNNNNNNNNNNNNNNNNNNNNNNNNNNNNNNNNNNNNNNNNNNNNNNNNNNNNNNNNNNNNNNNNNNNNNNNNNNNNNNNNNNNNNNNNNNNNNNNNNNNNNNNNNNNNNNNNNNNNNNNNNNNNNNNNNNNNNNNNNNNNNNNNNNNNNNNNNNNNNNNNNNNNNNNNNNNNNNNNNNNNNNNNNNNNNNNNNNNNNNNNNNNNNNNNNNNNNNNNNNNNNNNNNNNNNNNNNNNNNNNCGGAUCCCACUGUGCUGGAAAGUUGUCUUUUUAAUUUGUUUCUUCUAUUGUUGAGAGUACAUAAAUUAUAUUAAAGUUGUUGAAAAUACCUUUUGUUUCUGGAUAUUUUUUUUCCAGUUUAGUUGUGUAAGUUGUGUGUAUUAUGUAAUUAUUAUUAUUAUCCUUAUUAUGUUUGUUAUAUGUUUUUAUUUUAUUUUUAAACUUGUUGCUCUUACCGGACCUUUAAAAAAAUACAUGAAGACUUGUAGAAAUAACUAUAAAAUGAGUGACAAUUCUGAGUAUUUGAGCCUUAAUGGGUUGUAAACGAAUUUAGGUAUUUCUCAUAAGAAGACAAUAUCAUUGGCCUGUUGACAUUGGGCAUGUAAGCUAUUUUUAUAAGACAAGAGGAGUGACCAGGUGGAGAUGUUGUUGCCGCCUUUGUGUAUGUCGGGAUUGUCUCUUGUAUCUCCUGGUGUGGUUAUGUUUGUUUAUCUUUUAUUUGAUGGGUAAUAUGUAAACAAAAAUCAUAUAUAUAAGGUUCAUCAAAGACGAGAAUCAUAUAUAUAAGGUUUACAGAAUGGCUACAAAUCAGGAACAUUUAUGAUCAAGCGAUUUAAGAUGGGGAGAUGAAGAGUUCACCGGUGAAAAAAUAGAUUACGAACAGACACACGGUGCAACUCUGUAACUCAGACUUGUCUGAGACAAUGAUGAAAAGAACUCUAACUCAUGUUAAACGAAGAUAUUUUACAAUAUGGAAAAACUAUAAUUGUUGCUUUUCAUAUAACGUGAUGAAUCUCAUUUAAAAAUGAAACUCAUAAUACACUUGUAGACCCAGCCCACAGAGAAAACAGAAGAAGCAAGGGUUUCCGACCUUCAUAAAUGUAUAUUAGUUUCGGCCAUCAAUGUACAAAGUAUCCUUUAGUUUAGUGGUAUAAAUGUUGGUUUUUAUAUCACAAUAAUCCGGGUUCGAGCCAUGAGCUUGACACUUUUUUCACACUUUUUAAAAGUGGAGUCCACAAAACGCUGACAUGACGGACGCGCUGAGGAGAGAGCAAAAACUCAAUCAUUAUAAUAUAGAUUUCAAACGUAAUAGCACAUAUUACUAAGUAACGAAAUAUUGUUUGUUGUAACGUAAUAAAUUUACAGGGGAGGUCUCAUUUGUUCCUAAGAAUCGCCACCGACUUUGGCGGCGAUAACUGAAGCAUAGUGAGCAAUGUUAGUCUCAGGGGAAUGUUUAAGCCUCGCUAUGACCCAGAACAACUCAGAUGACUUCACGAACUGUCUGCAGAUCUGGUGGUUCGAACACAUUUUUGCCAACGAAAAGAGUGCAACCUUGAGCGGUGACUCACUUGCUGUCUCUUUCUUGCUCGGAUUCAAGGCCACAACCGAGCAAUCCGAGACCAACUUUAGUAACGUCUGCAUCACAAAAUACGCAAAAUGAGAAAUCAGAUUCAUGCCUGACUAGGCUAUAUGAACACAAAAUCCCGACAAGACUUAAACAACAGGCUUCUGUUUUUGACCUGAGGAAUUUAAAAGUAACAAUUAAUUAACUAUAUUUGAUCCGCGCAACUGCGCGGAUUUUUGUUUUCAUUUAUUUUUAUAUAAACAUUUUGUUUCAAUUCUAAAUUGGUAUAUAUUGUAAUAUAUAUGUGUUUAUCAAUUUUUAAAACAAAAUAAGUUUACGGUAUAUUUUUUUCAUUGAAUAGAUUGUUUCAAAUUUUCACAUGUAUUUGUAUCUUCUUCUAUAUAUAUAUUUUUGGAUUAUUAUUUCAUUAUUAAAAUCGUAACUAUAUAUAUAAUGAUUAGUAAAAUAUUGUUUUAUUGUCAUAUUCAAAGAUAUUGUAACAUUUCAAAAAUUUAGAAUGUUUUUUAAAAAUUAAAAUUUUCUCUUCAUAGAUUUAUAUUAUCGAAUAAAUAAUUAAACAUUGAGUUUUUGUUUAAUGAUUAAAAUAAACUAUAUAGUUAAAAUUUGUUUUCAUUGGUUUAAGAUAGUAAAGAUUAAUCAUUGUUAGAUAAUAUGAUUUUUGUUAUUUAAAAAAAAAUCUUUAUAAUUUUAAGAGUUAACAUCGACAAAUAUUUAAAUAAUUAACAUAUGGAUGUAUAGUAUUACGACAUUAAAUUAUAUCUAUUUAAUUUAUAUUAUCUAUAAAUCCAAUGGAUCAUCUAUUGUUUAAAUUCAAUUAUUGAUAACCCAAUAAAAAUUUCUGGUAGGUCCAAAAUUUAAAUGAUAAUAUUAGAGAUUAAAUGUAACAUGACUUUCUAGAAAUAAGUCCAUUAGGUUCAUUUUUUAAAAAAUCACACAUGAAUCAAGGUUGUGACUUCUGUUUUAAUAUAUAAGAUUCUACGCAUAAUUAAUUAUAUAUAUAUCAUUAGUAUCUACAUUUGAACUAACACAAUAUAAUCAUUAUUCUUAAAUUAUUUCUAAAAUCUGAAUUUCAACUAAUAUUCAAAGUAGUUUCUAUAUUUUACUCUAGCGAUUUCAACAAUUAAUAAGAUCGAUUAGCAUAUAUAUGAAACCGUUUUGAUUUAUUUAGAAACUGAAUAUUACAUUAUACUUAUUUUCCAAACUCAGUAUAUCUACACUUUUAACCUAGAUUUAUGUUUUAUUUUGAAUAUACUAACCCAAAAUUAUGAGACCCUUCUAUAAAUACUUUUCCCAUUACUCUAUAUUCAUCCGCAAUUCACAAAAAAAAACAUGUCUAACUAGAAAAAUAAGUCUCUUUUUAAAGAUGUCAACCUUUUGAAAAUCGGUUGGCUAAUUCACGUGAAAUUGUUUCAUUCGCCAAAUCUAAACGAAGUGAUUUAAUUUGUAUUUAUAAUACAUUUAAAAAAGCGAACGGAACUAUACAUUUACCAAAUCUAAAAAUAGUGUAUAAUAAGAAGCAAAACCACCCUCAAUUCAAAUAAUAAUCCAAUGAUAAUUUAACAAUAUUCAUGUACAAAAAAAAAUAUAUAUAUAUAAUUUAAAACAAACACCCAUGCGUCCGCACAGGUCCAAAUAUAGUUAGAAUUAAUGGUAAAAACUGGUUAAGUCUAAUUUUGGUUUUGUUUUGUUUAUUGACAUAAAACCGAACUUGUUGAAGAAUGAAUCUAAUCAUGUACGUAAAAUGAUGGUCAUAAUCGGUUAAAUCAUUUAUUUAUUUAUUAAUUGUAUAAACCAAACAGGUUUAAGAGUCACUCUUAUGAAGAAUAGGUUAAAUUCGAUUUAGAAUUAUUUAUAUAAGUAUAUAUGUACCAAGGUUGCCGUAUAGGAGAAUGUUACUAUACUCGUGCAUCUAUAAUGUGAUUCAUUAAUGAUGAAAAAAUAUUUUGGUAAAACAAACCAAUAUUAUAGGCAAAGUAGUUAUUAUAAUCGAUAACAUAUGAAGUGAUUUAGUUAUGAUGUCAAAAUGUUAUUUAGAAAUAAAUGAAACAUGACAUUCUAGGAAAAGUCCAUUUUUUAAAUAUCACAUGAAAAGAAAUUGUGAGUUUUAUUUUAAUAGAAUAAAUUUGAGCUUCGGUGUGGAUAAAAAUAUCAGGGACGGCAAUGAUAAUAGCAUCUGCAUUGGAAAUCUCCUUUGCCUAUAUCUUGGCACCUACUAACCCCUUUUGGCCUCUUUUUGGUACAUUCGGCUGUACAUUGCUUAGGAUCACAUUUUCCAGUAUUGUUUGGGUAUGCUUCAACACAAGUUUUUUGUGUGGUUGGUCCUCCUUUCUGAGCAGACACCACUACUCCUGUUAUUAUAGUAAUUGAAAUAUAACAUUAGUUUUGUAUUUAAAAAAGAAAAUUAAUAUUUUUGUAAAAUAUAUGUUUUGAGAGUUUUCUUUGCAUAUUUAUCAAAAUGAUAUUUUAAACAUAUUAUCUCUUAAUCACUGAUCAUUCUUGGAGAAUUACUAAAUCAAUAUAAUGGAACUGGACAUACAAUUUAUAUAAACAUAUAAAAUAAUACAGCAUCAAAAUAAAUUUGUAGUAUCAUGUUUAUAUAAUAUAUACUAAAAAGUUGUGAAGUAAAUACAUACCUAGUAGAAAGAUUGUCAGCAUAAUGAAGCCAAUAAGCGAAGUCCGAAAAGAAAUUUUCAUCUUAGAUAAUGAACUAAUUGUGUUUAAAAAAAUUAGAACGAUAGAGAAAUAUAUUUAUAGACGAAUCACAUAUUGAAACAUAUCUAAUUUAAGCUAUGUUUCUUUUAAAAAUCCGAUAUAAAAGGAUAUAGUUUGACCAAUUUUUUAAACAAUUUUGUAAUUUAUUAUUUAUUUAAUAGAUAAAUAGUUUGACUCAUUUAUUUGUAAGUUUAUAACACAAAUACAAUGAAUAUUCAAAUAGUUAACGACCAUUUGUUCAAAUAAUAAUUCCCACAUAAUAAUUAUCGAAAAUAAAUAACAAACCAUCAGCAAACAUUAGUGGAUCAUAUCUUCCAAAAAAAAUAUGGUGCCUACAAAUAUUAACACAGUCGUUACAAAUAUUUGAGGGAUGAUAAUGACAAUUAAUAAAUUCAACACAAUAAGUGCAAUUCACACAAAAGUUUUUGAGAGGAAACGACUAAGCAUGCUGCUACUAUUUAAACAGAUUAAGCAAGGACAAAUCUCAUUGAUGUAAAAACAAAGCUUUGUUUAGUUUAAAGAUCCUACCAAAACAGAUGUGAGUCUCCUUGAAGCUCUUCACUAAGAUAAUUACCAAAGUUGGUGCAACCUCUUUUAUUGAAUUUCAUAGCUACAUGAAGGAGAUGUACCAACGACUCAUCCUAUUACCACUUGUGAAGAACCACUACAUGGAACCAUCUUGAAGAACACUAUGUCAAAGCUAUCAUUCGUAACUUCUAUGAAAAUGAUGUCAUUAAUGGUCUCUUUCAAUUAAAUGUAGAAGCUGGUGGUGUACAUGAAGAAUCAACAUAUCUUUAUGAAGUUCUCCUACUAUGUACUAGAAUGAUGGAAGAUGGCGAGUAAAUACUCCGCUAAUCUCAAUUGGCUCGAAUACACAACCUUGAUUAACGGCUGAUGUAACAACAUAAAGACAUCUUUCCAUGGAUCAAGAGUGUCAAGAAAUAGAAGAUAUCUCAAAUCUUUGAGGAAGAUGAUACCAAGCAACCUUUAUCAUCUUAAUUAUACGACAAAUACAUGUGCAAAGUGCUACUACUAUAAGCAAAUAGUGAAGUUCGUUUUUAUGAUAUGGCAACAUCACAUCUCAAAGAGUUGUUGUGCUGUUAUACGAUGAAGACAAACUUUGUCAUUUGCUAAUAAUAGAAGCAUUUUCAAGAGUUGUUGUGUUGGAAGCUUUAAUUUCAAGUUUAUAAGUCUAUGGUCCACACUUCACACCUUUUAGACGAGGUUGUUGCAGCAUUUUCCUAUAUCUAUGUGUAAAUUGUACAAUGAUGUAUAUUUUCUUUUGAAAAAAAAUAAUGAAUUCCAAAACACAUAUGGCAAAAUCUUACAGAAACCAUGCCUUCUUAAAUAACCAUUUUCAAAUGAAAAACAAAGCCACUUUCAAUUAUUACACAUUUAAAAUGACUACUUAUAAUUUAGCGGAAAAAAAAAGACUACUUAUAAUUAAAUGAGGUUGGCAGCUGAGUUGGACGAAACAACUCACCCUGUGUAAAAAGGCGUUCCACAAUAAUUCAUUUUUUCCAUAUAAAUGCGACUACAAAUCAGUUCUUUUAAACAAGAGGGAGAAGAAAAUCACUUGGGCGAACUCAGCGACAACACAAAACUCCCGUGCGUUUCAAAGGAAUCGAGCAUUUCAAUAAUAAUCCCAUGGAGCAUAACUCAACUCUAAAAUAGAGUACCAUGGAGCAUAACUCAACUCUAUUAUAGAGUUACUCUCUUUUAUUUUUCACUCUAAAAUAGAGUACCAUGGAGCAUAACUCAACUCUAUUAUAGAGUUACUCUAUUUUAGAGUGAAAAAAUAAAGUGAAUCAUUGGAGAUGGUCUAAUGUUGUUGCUGUUUAUUUGUCUCUUUACCAAACGGGCAGAGAAUAAAAUUCUAUGUAUUACCAAAAAAAGAAAAAAAUAAAAAUUGGUUCCCAACAUUAACUUUUUUUUGUCAACUUUCAAAAAUAAAUUUUUAUGCUUAAAUAAUAAACAAAACAGUUACAUUAUGUUGAAUCUAUAGUUUUUUAGAAUCUAAUAAUUAAAACACAAAAAUACAUAUUUAAAAUUUAUACCACGUUGGGAAGAAGACUUUUUCAAGACUUCUUCCAUCAUGAAAUGCAUUAAAAGAGUUCCCAAGAAGUCUUCGAGAAGUCUUCCGAGAGUAUUCUAGAAGUAGGCAUGGGCAUUCGGGAUCCCAAUCGGGUUUCGGUUUAGUCCAAUCGGGUUUGGUUUUUCGGGUUUAUCAAAAUCAGUCUCAUUCGGGUUAUAUGAAAAUUCGGUUCGGGACCGGUUCGGGUUCUAUCGGGUUCGGGUCGGGGUUAGUAAAUCUUCAAAGAACCGGUACAAUCCGAUGUACUUUUGGGUUCGGAUACCAAUCGGUUCUUAGGUUUAAAUGUACCUGAUUUAUAUCUACUUCGUAACCAAAAAAUAAGUAAAAUCGGUUCUUCGGUUUUAAAAUACUUGAUUUGUACCUAUUUUGUAACCAAAACAUAAAUAAAAUCGGUUCAAAAAAAAGAAAGGAACAUCAAAUGUGAUCAUUCAAAAUAAAAUAAAAGAUAAACAUAGUUAUUGAUCGAAAGAAAACCAAAUAAAUGAAAGCAUAAAACGAAAACCAAGUUCUCAUGAAAUAAAAAUCAUUAUUCAAUGAAAACAAAACCAAAAUCUAAAAACUUCAACCUUCAACCGCCACCUUCAACAAUCAAUCUUCAUAUAAUAGAUAAUUAUUUUAGAUGUUCAAUAUAUUUUGAAUACAUAUUCGAAAUUAAGAUCAUGUUUGGUACAAGUUAUUUUUGGGAAUUUUGAAUGUUUCGGGUUCUAUCAGAUAUCCAUUUAGGUUCGGGUUCGGUUCAGAUAAUACCCAUAACCCGAAAUAGCAUAAUACAAGAUCCAUUCGAUAUUUAUACCGGGUUCGGAUCGGUUCAGAUUCAUUUUUAUCGGAUCGGAUUUUCGGGUUCGGUUUAUUUGCCCAACCCUAUCUAGAAGUCUUCCAAAGUCUAAUUCAGAUCUGAAAAAAUAUACAUAUUCAAAUACAUUCAAAAUGCUUCAAAACAGAAAAAACUUCAAAAUAAUUUUUUCAUGCAUAAAUAAUAAACAAAAAUUCACAUUAAAUUGAAUCUAUUACUUUUUAGGAUCUAUUAUAUAAAACACACAAAAAUAUAUAUCAAAAAUGUGUGCCACUUUGGGCAGAAGACUUCAUAAAACUUCCUAAAGACUUCUUGGGAAGUCUUCUAACAUAAAAUGCAUUAGAAAAUUUCCCAAGAAGUCUUCCAAAGUCUGACUCGGAUUUGAAAAAACCUGCAAAUUCAAAAAAAAAAAUCAAAUGAUUUUAAAACAGAGAAAAAAAAACAAAAACAAUCAAAUUAGAUUUGAAUCUAUAGCUUUUUUUAUAAUCUUACAUAUAAAAUACAAAAAAUACAUAUCCAAAAUUUAUAGAUUUACCUUUGAAAGAGUGAAAAAUGAAACCAUGUAAUGAAAACUCUGCAAAAAAAAAGAUGAAUUAUUGAGAAAGACAUAAGAAAAAAAUGAGAACUAGAUUUAAAGUUUGGUGUUUUCUAGUUCAAACAUAUAAUAUAGAGUUUGGGGAGUUUUAGAGUGAGAAACAUUAUAUUUUUGCUGCAGCUAUUUGAUAUGAAGAGAGAGAAUGUGUAAAUUUUCGUUAUAUAAGGACACAAAAAAUCUAAUUAUGUUUAAUAUUUUUGGUUCAGAAGACUUCCCAGAAAAUCUUCUAAACCCAAAAUUUGAUAUUCGUCCGAGAAAGUUUUUCAAUAAGUCUUCUAAUGCAUUACAUGUUAGAAGACUUCUGUAAAAGUCUUUUAAACCAUAAAACCAAAUAAAUAACUAAAUACCAACAAACACUUUUUUAAACAUAUGAUCAACUUAUAAAAUGUUGAAUAUACACUAUACUAAAAUCUAACCCUAAAAGUACAAACAAUACUAUAACAUAUGUUAUCAAUACCUAAACCAAAGACUAUCAUGACUCAAUCUACAUUCAGCCACCUAUGUUGAAAACAAUUCAAUUUUAGUAAAUCUAAAUUUACAUCAUUUAAAAAUAUUUAUUAUAUGAUUUAGAUUUUUCCCACAUGAAAUUAUAUUUAAUAAAUUUAUAAAUUAUUUUUAAGAUCAAAUAUAUGAGAAUAUUUUCCAAGGAAGACUUUCAGAAGACUUCACAUUAGGUGGUAAACCUAAAUUUCUAAAUUAAUGAUUAGACGGGAAACCAACAUUCUACUAGAAUGGUAUACUUUGUUGUGAAGUCUUCCAGGAAAUCUUCUAGUGCAUUAUAUGUUAGAAGACUCUUCCAACCUUAUAAUCAAAUAACUAACUAAAUAACAAAAAAACACAUCAUUAAAUUUAAAUCAACUUAUAAAAAAUUUAAUGUACACAAAACUAAACACAUAUAAGUCAAAUUUAUUUAUUUAAAAAAAGAAAUUAACAUUCCAAAAUCUAACCCUAAAAAUACAAACAAUAGUAUAACAUAUAUGUUACCAAAUCCUAAACCAAAGACUAUCACGACUCAAUCAGUUGCCAAAACAAAAAUAGACUAUCAUGACUCAAUCCGCAUUCACUCAUCUAUGUUAAAAAUAAUUCACUUUUAAUAAAUAUAAAUUUAUAUCAUUUAGAAAUGUUUAUAAUUACAUGAUUUCAAUUUUCCCAAUCAAAAUAUUUGUAUAAAUACUUUACGAGAAGACUUACAAAGAAGUCUUCUCAAAUAAGUCUUCCUUCGAAGUCUUUUCACGCUAAGGGUUAUAGGGUUAAAACUCUACACAAACUUUUUGUGUUGGUCAUAAGGUGAUUGUUGUAAUUUCACUAGUAUUUUGAGUUAUUUUUCAUGUGAUUGAAUUUGAGGUACACUUUUACAUUUAAAAUCAAGUUUGAAUCAUUUUUUGGCAAAUUCCCUAGUUUCAAAAUUAGUGGCAUUUUGUGUAAAUCUCACAUGACCUAAAGGUUAGUUCUAGUAUUUACUUUUCUUCUAAUAGAAAAAUGAAUAAUUUUCCAAAAUUAUUUUAAUAUAUAAAGCUCAGUUAAAUCUUCCUCCAACAAAUAAAUAAUAAAUUAAAAUAUAGAAAAUAAAAUAUCAGAAAACAAGCCACAUAAAUAAUAUAUAUAUAUAUAUAUAUAUUAUAAAAUACUACUAAAUAAAUUUUCUAUUAAAAUAGUACAUAAUCAUAAAAAUACAUAUACUCCAAAAGUUAAAACGGAUUUCAAUUUAGAUUUUAGAGUUAUGGUUUAGAGAUUUGUAUUUAGGGGUUAAGGUUUAUAGUUUAAAGUUUAGAAUUUAGGAUUUAGGUUUUAAAAUUAUGAUAACACAUAUUUAUUUUGUUUAAAUUUAUUAUUUGUGAAAUGUAGUCGAUUUUUUUCAUUUUUGUGAUUUAUUCGUUUGUUAAAUAAUUUUGUGAUAUUAAAGAAAAUUUGCUGGAACAAAAAUCUCAUCUUAUAUAUUAAAACAGAAGUCACAAGUUUGAUUCAUGUGUGAUUUUUAAAAAAAUGGACCUAAUGGACCAAUUCUUAGAAAGUCAUGUUACAUUUAAUCUAUAAUCUUAUCAUUUAAAAUUUGGGCCUACCAGAAAUUUUUAUUGGGCUAUCAAUAAUUGGAUUUAAACAAUAGAUGAUCUAUUGGAUUUAUAGAUAGUAUAAAUUAAAUAGAUAUAAUUUAAUGUUGUAAUACUAUACUUCCAUAUGUUAAUAAUUUAAAUAUUUGUCGAUAUUAACUUUUAAAAUUAUAAAGAUUCUUUUUUAAAUAACAAAAAUCAUAUUAUUUAACAAUGAUUAAUCUUUACUACCUUAAACCAAUGAAAACAAAUUUUAAACUAUAUAGUUUAUUUUAAAAAUUAAACAAAAACUAAAUGUUUAAUUAUUUACUCGAUAAUAUAAUUCUAUGAAGCAAAAAGUUUAAUUUUUUAAAAUCUUUCUAAAUUUGUGAAAUGUUACUAUAUUUUUGAAUAUGACAAUAAAAAAAUAUUUUACUAAUCUUUACAUAUAUAGUUACGAUUUUAAUAAUGAAAUAAUAAUCCGAAAAUAUAUAUAUAGAAGAAAAUACAAAUACUUGUGAAAGUUUGAAACAAUCUACUCAGUGAAAUUUUUUUACCGUAAACUUAUUAUUUUUAAAAAUUGAUAGAUACAUAUAUAUUAUAAUAUAUAACAAUUUAGAAUUGAAAACAAAAUGUUUAUAUAAAAAUAAAUGAAAACAAAAAUCCGCGCGGUUACGCGGAUCGAGAUCUAGUUAUAUUUUUAAUUAAUGAAAACUUCGGUACAUAUUCUUCGCCCGUAAUUUAUUGUACACACAUUACGAUCUUAUUAAUGAUCAAUCAAGAUUUGAAAACAAAUCUCCUAUAUAUUAAUUGAGAAACAUUUGAAAAAUUAGAACCUUAAUUUUGUAUUAAUUAAAAAAAACCCUAAAUCUUAGGUGGCACUGUAAAUGUCUUCUAAAUUCCAUUUCAAAGAAUUCUAGAGCAUCUAAUGUAAAGUAUAGUUUAAUCUAAUGGUGUCACAUUAUUCCAUAAUUAUAUAACACUAGAGAAUUUAUAUUAACCUAAAAUAUAGGAAGUGUGUAUUCUUUUCUUAAAUAAAAGCGACGAAAUUACCUAAUAUGAUUUACAUAUAUAUAGCAAUUAAUGAUUAUGAAUAAUAAAGAUUUGAUAACAUUUUUUGCAUCCUUAUUCAUUUUUGUUUAAAUUUAUAUUAUUAAAAAAAAUUAAACAAUCACAUUAACCAUAUAAUAAAAAAAUUAGAUUUUUUUCUUAUAUGUUAUAUUUUGAAUUUUUUAAAAUGACUUUAAAAUUACAAAAAUAAGGAAACCUUAUAUGUUAUAUUUUUUUUUAAAAUGAUUUUAAAAUACAAAAAUGAGGAUAUCUUAUAUGGUAUACUUUUCUUAUAUGUUAGAAUUUUCUUAUAUGUUAUAUUUUGAUUUUUUUAAAACGACUUUAAAUUACAAAAAUGUAAGUUUUCCUUAAGUAUACGACUAAAAACAUUAAAAUGACAUGUAUCAAUUCGAUGGUUGAUUUGAAAGCUUUCAAAACCAUAUGGAAGAUAAAAGUCAAAAUAAUUUAACUGUGGAAACAAUACCGUUCAUUUUUUUCAAGAAUGUGUUCGAUAGAAAAAAUAAGGUUUUUAUGUCAUAAUUUGUUUAAUGUCCACUAGAGAACAUUAUAUUAACUUAAAAUGUAAGAAGUGUGUAUUCUUUCCUUAAAUAAAAGCUACAGAAUUACCUAAUAUGAUUUACAUAUAUAUGACAAUUAAUGAUUAUGAAUAAUAAAGAUUUGAUAACAAUUUUUUGCAUCCUUCUUCAUUUUUGUUUAAUUUUAUAUUAUUAAAAAAAUAAAAAAUCACAUUAACCAUAUAAUAAAAAAAUUAGAUUUUUUCUUAUAUGUUAUAUUUUGAAUUUUUUAAAAUGACUUUAAAUUACAAAAAUGAGGAAACAUUAUAUGUUAUAUAUUUUUUUAAAACGACUUUAAAAUACAAAAAUGAGGACACCGUAUAUGUUAUAUUUUUCUUAUAUGUUAGAUUUUUUCGUAUAUGUUAUAUUUUGAAUUUUUUAAAACGACUUUAAAUUACAAAAAUAUAAGUUUUCCUUAAGUAUACGACUAAAAACAUUAAAAUGACAUGUAUCAAUUCGAUGGUUGAUUUGAAAGCUUUCAAAACCAUAUGGAAGAUAAAAGUCAAAAUAAUUCAACUGUGGAAACAAUACUGUUCACUGUUUUCAAGAAUGUGUUUGAUAGAAAAAUAAGGGUUUUAUGUCAUAAUUUGUUUAAUGUCUAACCCGAUCAACCUAUGAUCUAUUAAUUAUAGUUUUGUUCCAUUAUUUUUAAUAAAAAUUGAUCCGAUCCAUCGGAACGAAAUUAUAUAAUAACAAUAAAAAAUAUUUUAUAUAUAUAAAUAAAAUGAUCAAAUAUUUAAAAGAAACUAUCGAAAUAUAUACAAAUAAAGUCUUAUCCUAGUCUCAUAUAUAUAACUCAAGGAAACUUAAAGUGAAUAGGCGUCAGAAAUGUAAACAAUGUAUAAAUUAAGGAUUCAAAUACCUAACGCUAGGUACAUUAUUUCCUAUAACAAACAGCCGUUACAAUUAUGUGAGAGAUGAUAAUGACAAUUAAUAAAUUGAAUACAAUAUGUGCAUUUCACACAAACGUUUUUGAGAGGAAACGGCUACGUACAUAACCAGCGUUGCUACUAUUUAAACAGAGUAAGCAAAGACAAUCUCACAAUCACAAGUGUAAAACAAAUGUGAGCCUCCUUGAAGUCCUGCACCAAGAUCUACUUAGAGUCACACCAAAGUUGGUGAAACCUCUUCUAUUGAUUUUCAUAAUUACAUGGAGGAGAAGUUCACUUCGUCAGACAGCAGAAAGGUGUACCAACAAGGCAACAACUCAGCAUACCACUACAUGAAAGUUGUCGAGGGAUGCCUAGAAAACAACAACCUUGAAGCACACACUAUCUCAAAGGUAUGAUUCAUUGCUUCUACAAAAAUGAUGUCCUUAUUGGUCUCUUUCAUUUGAAUGUAGCAGCUGAUGGUGGACACAAAGAAUCAAUGUAUCUUUAUGGAGUUAUCCUACUGGAAUGGAAGAUGCAAAAAACUACUUGGCUAAUCUCAAUUGGGUGGAAUACACAACUUUGAUUAAUGCCUGACUUUUAUCAUCUUAAUGAUAUGACAAAUACAUGUGCAAAAGUGCCACACUACAAGCAAAUGGUGAAGUUGGGUUUUAUGAUUUAACAACAUCACAUCUCAUAGUCUCAUAGAGUUAUGAGAUGUUGUGUUGUUAUAAUAUGAAGACAAACUCUGUCAUUUGUUUAUAGUGGUAGCAUUUUGAAGAAUUGUUCUGUUGGAGUCUUUACUAUUUGAAUUUCAAGUUUGAUAAGUCUAUGGUUUGCUUAAAAAGAGAAAAAUAAAUCUAUGGUUCACACUUCGUAUCUUUUAGGGGGAUGUAUUCAAUUUAACAUUUGAUGUGAUUUGAUUUUUAAUGGGGUUUUAGAUGAUUUCAAUAAGUUGCAGAGAUUUAAGUGACUUUUGUUAAACUACUCUAGAAUAUCACCUAAAACUAUGGGAUUUGAGUUUUAAUUUUUUUAACUAAGAAAUCAUACCCAAACACCUUAAAAUCACCUGAAAACUUUAAAACUCCACAACUUAAAAUAUUUUCAAUAACAGUGGAUUUCAGAGUACUUUAAAAAAUGUCAAAUUCAAUAACAGUGGAUUUUAAAUGAGUUUUUAAAAUUCAUGUUUCAAUAACAGUGGAUUUGUCAUUUUAAUACAAAUCACCUGAAACUCUCAGUUGAAUACAUCCCCCUUAGAAGAGGUUGUUUUGGUAUUUUCUUAAGUCUAUGGUUUGCUUAAAAAGAGAAAAAUAGAAAUGAAGAAGAGGUUGUUUUGGUAUUUUCUUAAGUCUAUGGUUUGCUUAAAAAGAGAAAAAUAGAUAUGAAGAAGAGGUUGUUUUGGUAUUUUCUUAAGUCUAUGGUUUGCUUAAAAAGAGAAAAAUAGAAAUGAAGAAGAGGUUGUUUUGGUAUUUUCUUAAGUCUAUGGUUUGCUUAAAAAGAGAAAAAUAAAUCUAUGGUUCACACUUCAUAUCUUUUAGAAGAGGUUGUUUUGGUAUUUUCCUUUUUUCUCUUGUGCGUGUGUGGACACUUCUACACUGAUGUGUAAUGUUGUUUUUUAGAAAUAAUGAAUUGGAUAAUUGAAUCUCAGCUGUCAACAUGACACUGCACUGCACAAAUACUUUGCCAACGCCAUUCAUGAAAGAGAGAGAUAGGGGUAUUAAAAUACUUCUCCUAUGGUCUCGGUUACAUAUCAAGAAGUCCAUAGCCAACUAUAUAUAAUUUACCAAAUAAAGUAUGGUCCAAUGUCCCGAUAGUCCUCAACCAUUUUUUAAUCAAGUAGCACAUCUCUAUUGUUGAUCUUAUCAUUUCCCCGAUUUUCUUUGGUGAAUUUUGUCCUCAAACAAGUUAUAAAUUAAAUUUUGCUUUUGAAGUCGUGAACAAUAUUUUAAUUUUUUUAUUACGGAGUGGUUAACAUGAACCCAAUAACUUCGAAAAACAUUAAUAAUAUGUAUUAAUUUUUCUUUCUUAAAAAGAAUUCAAUACGAAUAUGUACCUUAUUCUCUUGACUAGUAGUGGUUCAUGAACUUCCUGUUAAAUAUAGUAAACUAACGUCAACUAACUUCAAUGGAAACACACACACACAAGUAAGGUAUGCUUUGAAAUUUUCUACAAAUAAGUUAUUCUUUAAAUUUUGAGAAAUACCCUAGGAUAACACUAGAAGUAUGAAUGGUGACCAAUGAACGACGAAGAAUAAUACAUUCCCUAACGUUCAUAAAAAUAUCACUAUUCACAAAUGGUCUAACUAGAACCAUUAUAGGAACAUUAUGAAUGAGUAGGAAAAAAAUGCAUAUGAAUAAAAUUAGAGUAAUGAAAAAGAAAUUAUUUCUUAUCAAUUUUAGUGAGAAACAAAUUUAUUAUAUAUUCUUUUAAAAUAAAAAGAAUAAAAAAGAAUGCAAAGGAAAAACUAUUUCUUAUAAAUGAUAAAAAAAAUUAGGAAUAACAAAGAAUUCUUUGCAUUCUUUUUUCCUUCUUAUUCUUCACCAUUCUUUUUUUCUUAAAGAAAUAAAGAACAAAGUUUUUUUUUUGAACACUAAAGAACAAAGUUAUUCCUUGUUAAAUAUGGGUUUGAACAACCCAUUAUUUUUCAUUCUUACAAUUUUAUUCUUCUGGGUUCCUUUCCUAUUUGUUCUUCUUGUGUUUCAGAAUGGUCACCAGUCGGACCCUAAAAACGUUUUUGUCACAAAUAUAUAUUCUAAGGAUUAAAAUAACCAAAUAUUUUAUUAAAGAAGUAAAUAUACACUUAUAUCUCUAGGAUUAACUAAUAUAAACAUUAGAGUUUAGAGUUAAAGGAUGAUGAUUUGAGAUUGAAGUUUAAAAUUUUAUAAUAUAAAAAAUAAAUAUUAAAANNNNNNNNNNNNNNNNNNNNNNNNNNNNNNNNNNNNNNNNNNNNNNAAUAUUAAAAAUUUGUAAUAAAAAUUUGAAAAAUAGUUUCAAAAAGAAUUUUCAAAUUAUAAAAAAAAUUUUGAAAAAUUUUUUAUAAAAAAGUUCGAAUUUGAAAACAUAUAAUCUAAACCUAUAAAAAAAUAAUUUUUUUAGUUUUUUUUAUUUGUAUUUAUAUAUCUAGGGUACUAUCUUUUUUUCUAUUAAAUGAAACAUUUUGAUAUUCUUACCUUAGGAUAUAUUUUGGUAACAAAAACUUGAAAAUGGUCUAUCUAAUAGAAUUGUCCUUAAAAUUUUCUACAAAAUAAGUUAAUACUUGAAUGAUUCCGUAGAGUUAUAGCAGCGGCGACGAAGUCACAGCAACAUGUAUACACAUUACACACAUCGGCUGCAACUGAAUUGUAAAUAUUUGGAAUGGCCUAUUCCAUUAAUUCCAUAAAAAAAUUUACCAUUUGACAUGAAUGGAAUGGAAUACUCAUUCCAUCAAUUCCAAAAAUAAAUAGAAAAAAUACAAAAAGAAUCAUUCUAUAACAAAUUUGAUCAUGAAAGAAUGGAAUGAAUUCUAUUCCAUUUUUUGUUAUAUUCCAUUCCUACCAUUCCAUUUAUUUUAAAUUCCACAAAUUCCAUAUAUGUUUACCAGUUACACCCAUCAACUGAUAAUGUUACAGAAUUACUAGUUUCAAUUUCAAAAAAAUGAAAACCAUGUUGUUAUGAGAAUCAACCAUAAAUUAAUAAAAAAACAUUUCUUGUCCAAAAUAAAAGAAACAAAAACAUUUCCCGUUUUGUUUUAGUAUUUAAUUUAAUAAUAUGGGAAGGAAAAGGAAUCGGAUAAUAUAACAAAUCUAACGGCAGAGAGUAAGAGAGAGAAAGAGGUGUUUGAAUGAGAUUAAACAACGCCGCUCUUCUUCUUCUUCUGCAAUCCUCAUCUCCGCCUAGGGUUUUCUCUUCCACUCUCCGCCGCCCUUUUCUCUCUCACUUCCGCUUCUCUUCUUCCGCCGCAGUCAUGCCUGGUUCCGAACCAUCAUCGGAGAUCCAAUGGCCUGCCAAGACCGUCAGGGACACGUAUUUCGAUUUCUUCAAAGGGAAAGGUCACAAGUUCUGGCCAUCGAGCCCCGUUGUUCCCCACAACGAUCCCACUCUUCUCUUCGCCAACGCCGGUACGUAACUUCCAAUCGCCACGUUUUAUCGAAUCAGAUUAAUCUCGUGUUCUAAUUGUGGAGAUUGCUUUGUGAUCUAUUCACUCUUAGUUGAUUAAGGGUUUGUAGAUUAGAAGAUUCAUAUACUGUCUCAAAUGUCAUGUUCUUGGUUCUCUUAGCUCUGUGUAUAUUUGUUCAUUGUUAUCGAAGCGUUUGGAUCUAUUCAUUCACUCUCAAUUGGUUAAGAGUUUGUAGUUUGGAAGAUUCAUAAACUAUCUCAAAUGUCAUGUUCUUGAUUCUUAGUUAAUUUAAUAUUAUUGGAGAUAAAUUUAAUUUAAUUUCUCUGUUUUUUUUUCAAAAGGAAUGAACCAGUACAAGCCAAUAUUUUUGGGAACGGCUGACCCGAAUACGGAGCUCAGCAAGCUAACUCGGGCGUGUAACACACAGAAGUGUAUUCGUGCUGGUGGGAAGCAUAAUGAUCUUGACGAUGUGGGGAAAGAUACUUACCAUCACACCUUCUUUGAGAUGCUGGGUAACUGGUCAUUUGGAGAUUAUUUCAAGAAGGAAGCUAUUGAGUGGGCUUGGGAGCUCUUGACUAAGGUUAGUUGAACUAUUAGCAUCUUGUUUUGAAAUACGCUAUGGUUCAAACAGUACGUCAUAGUUUCGUUAAGUGGUUCCUUCUAUUGCUAUUGAUUGAUCGAGUUUAUGCAUCAGGUUUAUGGACUACCGACUGAUCGAAUUUAUGCUACCUAUUUUGGCGGUGAUGAGAAAGCUGGUCUUCAACCUGAUAAUGAGGCUCGGGAUAUAUGGCUGAAGUUUCUCCCACCUGGACGUGUGCUCCCUUUUGGUUGCAAAGUAUGUUGCUUUACUACUCUUAUAAAAAACUAAUCGUUUUAUAUGGAAUCUGCUUUGCUUGAUUCUCUCUUUCCUAAGGUUUCUUCAGAAAUGCGAGUAUUUCUUGUAUAUAUCGACACAUUGCUUUGUGAAUGAUAACUACUGUCAAGUUUAAGCUUGAAUGCAUUUUGUGGGAAAUUCGCUAGCAAGUUUUGGUGGUUGACAUGCUCUAAAAACCAGUUUCGUGAUUUCCAGUUGCUACCAUUCUUUCAUUGAACUGUUGGUGAACCUGCAGGACAACUUCUGGGAAAUGGGAGACACAGGUCCGUGUGGACCUUGUACAGAGAUUCAUUAUGAUCGUGUUGGCAACCGUGAUGCUGCAUCCUUAGUUAACAAUGACGAUCCAACAUGUUUGGAAAUAUGGAAUCUUGUGUUUAUUCAGGUACGAACGCUCUUUCCAGAUUUGUAAUUUAGUUCCAUUUUAAUACUUUUCAUCUACGUAUCGUGUUUGUAUACAGGAACUCUACAUUACGUCUCUAGUUGCAUUGUUUUUGCUUCUUUAUCUUUGUUAUUAUAUCCUCAAUUGUUUUCUCUAACGAGACUUAUUACUAUAUUUUCAAAAUAGUUCAACAGAGAGAGUGAUGGCUCACUAAAACCUCUCCCUGCUAAGCAUGUCGAUACUGGAAUGGGUUUCGAGAGGUUAACUUCUGUUCUUCAGAACAAAAUGAGCAACUACGAUACAGAUGUGUUCAUGCCUAUCUUUGAUGACAUUCAAAAGGUAAUUUGUGUAACCUUAAGGUUGUAUGACAUUCUGUUAAUUUCCAGUUAGUAUCUUACGGUUCCUCUUUUGUCCCAUUUAGUACUAUCAUCGUUGUUGUUUAUAUGUCAAAUGGGUCAUGAGUCCUGGUAAUUCUAUGAAUUCUAAUCUUAGGCUAUGUGUUCACUGGGAGGUUACAAUUAUUCUCCUUUUAAGCACACAGUCAUUUGUUUUGAAUGUCUGAUUUAGUGACUUUUGGAGUACAAUAUUCAAGGGAUCAUAGUAUUGGUAUUGGUAUCCCGGAGAUUAUUUCCUUGUUAGCUGUGGUUUUUUUGUCAUGUAUUUUUAUCAGUUAGAAAAGUUAAAAAGAGUUCUGAUUGGUCUUUUUCCCCUAGUUGCUGUGAAUGUUCAGUUAAGGUGUUCAUGCUUUCACAUUUUUAGGCCACAGGAGCGAGGCCAUAUUCUGGAAAAGUUGGUGUGGAAGAUGUCGACCGAGUUGACAUGGCUUAUAGAGUGGUUGCGGAUCAUAUUAGGACGCUAUCAUUUGCUAUCGCGGAUGGCUCUCGUCCUGGUAAGGCCACGAUUUCCUGUCUCACUUUAUACAAACGCCUUAGUAUUUGAUCAUUUAUUUUAGUUCAUACGUCUUAUUCUCCAACGAGAAGUGCUUUUGGUUUAUUUAUUCUUAAUUGACAUGAUGGAUUUGUGCUUUUUCUUCCUCAGUCAGCAUAUUAUGAUAGUCUAUUCUUUCUUGUUGGUUAACAAAUACCAUCCAAUGUACACUCUCUUGCAGGUAAUGAGGGCCGUGAGUAUGUUCUACGGCGUAUUCUUCGCAGAGCAGUUCGCUAUGGAAAGGAGAUCCUAAAAGCUGAAGAAGGUUUUUUCAACGGGUAGGAAACUACACUUGAUUGUCAUUUCAUGGGUUGUCUCAGUAUUUUUUUCGUUGGUGCUGGAACAUGUUCAUUUUAUCUUGCACCUUUGUAAUGCAGCAUAUAUUUCUAUAUGCAUAUUAGCUCCGUCUGUGUUUGACACUAAUUAGUUUGCGCUUUUAACAUGCAGACUCGUCAGUUCUGUUAUUCGAGUGAUGGGUGAUACCUUUACAGAGUUGAAGGAACAUGAGAAGAAGAUCACAGAGAUAAUAAAAGAAGAGGAAGCAAGCUUUUGCAAGACCUUGGCGAAGGUGAGGACUGGCCAUCUAUUUGCAGCUCAAUAUCGAUAAUGCCUUUUUGUUAUAUUAUUUCCAGUUUCGCCCUAAUUCAGUUUACCAUCAUUUCAGCUUUCCUUUUUCUGAAAGAUGAAUUGUUUUGAUAUGUUAAACUUUUUAUUGUCAUAUAUAUGUUAACAGGUGUCUAUAAGAAGGUUGAUUAUAUUAUUUUCAUGGCAGGGCAUUGAGAAAUUUCAGAAAGCUGGACAGGCAGUUCAGGGGAAUACAUUGAGUGGAGAGGUACUUAUCUAACUAUAUCUGUGUUGUAUGUUAGAUGUUACAGUAUUUUCAUCUGUGAUGUUUGAAUUUCCAUCUCAACAUACCGUUUUCUCUUUGCAGGAUGCUUUUGUCUUAUGGGAUACGUUUGGGUUCCCAUUAGAUCUCACACAGGUACUUAGGUCAUUCGUAGUUACAUCUAAUAGUAUAUGCGUUUCUUUAUAACUUUCAUUCUCGGGUUUCAGUUGAUGGCUGAAGAAAGAGGGUUGCUGGUUGAUGUUGAUGGCUUCAACAAAGCCAUGGAAGAGGCGAGGGAAAGAUCUAGAAGUGCCCAGAAUAAGGUGUUUCAACUUUUCUCUCUUUCCUUUGAUGUUAAAAUUAAGUGGGACUAUGGUCAACGCCAAAUUUACGUUUAUGUAUUGACUGAUCUUCUGAUGUCAAUUUUUGGUAGCAAGCUGGUGGUUCCAUAGUUAUGGAUGCUGAUGCUACAUCAAAAUUGCACAAGGCUGGUGUGUUAGCAACAGAUGACUCUUUUAAAUACACUUGGUUCAAGGUUUGUCCUAUUUAUUCCAGAAAAUUUGAAUGUUGGGCCUGAACUGUACUUAUGUUGGGGUAGAAUGAAAGAAAUCGGGGUACAGAGUAGCAUAUGGAUUUCUCUUAAAUUAAGCCUGUGCUGAGCAAAUGUCCUACCAAAUUUUGCGACAGGAUCACGAGAGUGAAGUAAAGGCUAUCUACACUGGCUCUGCUUUUCUGCAAAGUUCAGCUGCUGGCGAUAACGUUGGACUAGUUUUGACGUCGUCUAGUUUCUAUGCUGAGCAGGGUGGUCAGGUGAUCCAGUUUAUUUGAUAUGCACUUUAUUUUUCCGAGUGUUUCAUUUCUAAUCAUACGAGUGAUGGCAAGAAAAGGAGUUAUGUUCAUCUUGGAUAUAUGUACCUGAUAGUAACACCAUUAACACUGUCAUAUAAGAACUGCACUGUUUAAAUAUACGUAUCAGUUGCAAACACCAUGCAAUUGUUAUCGUCGGUUUUGCAAACGAAUAUCUAUAGUCUGUUUAUAGCUGCAUAUAUAUUUUAGAUUUCACAAAUUCUUAUAUGUAUAUAAAAUUCGUGCCCUUAACAUUUUGCUCUGGCAAUAGAUUUUCGAUACAGGACUUAUUGAAGGCUCGUUUGGUACAUUCAACGUAUGUAAUGUCCAAAUAUUUGGAGGCUUUGUUCUUCAUAUUGGUUAUCUCUCAAAAGAAACUGGAGUUGUAUCUGUGGGAGAUAAAGUGACUUGCAAGGUAUCGCUCUGCAUCAUACAGUGUUUGUCUCAGUCACUAGCGUAUCUGGUACUACCUUAACUGUUUGGAUAUCCGUUUUCUCUGUGUAGGUUGACUAUGAGAGGCGUAAGCUCAUCGCUCCUAACCAUACGUGUACACAUAUGUUGAAUUUUGCACUGAAGGUAUUGUUUCUGUAGUUUAAGUUACCUAAAGGGUAAUUUCCUUUUUCUUAAAUUGGAUCUCAAAACAUUCACUUUCCAUGAAUUCAGGAAGUGCUCGGGGAUCAUAUUGAUCAGAAGGGAUCAAUAGUUCUUCCUGAAAAACUGCGUUUUGAUUUUUCUCACGGUACAUUCUUCAAUACGUAUUUUUCAUAUUGAUAUGGAUAUGGAUAUGGAUAGUCUCUUAUAAUUGUCUAACGGUUUCCAUAAUAUCGAGUAGGCAAGCCGGUUGAUCCUGAAGAUUUAAGAAAGAUCGAAGCCAUAGUGAAUAAACAGAUCAAGGAUGAACUGGAUGUAUUUUCGAAGGAAUCAGUGCUUUCUGAAGCCAAGCGAAUCAAAGGUCUAAGAGCAGUAUUUGGUGAAGUAAGCUGUCCACCAGUUCUCUUGCAAUGCAUUUUUAGUUUGUUUUCUGUGAAUCUAAAACGUUUUCGCUUCCUCUGUUUUUAGGUCUACCCUGAUCCUGUUAGAGUGGUGUCGAUUGGGAGACGGGUCGAGGACCUCUUGGCUGAUCCCGAAAACGAUGAGUGGUCAUCACUUUCUUCUGAGUUUUGUGGAGGUUGGUUUCCAUGGGGGAUGUUUUUUGAUCUUUCGGAAUAGAGUAUUGAGUAUUGUAUUAUUUUGGAUAUCGCAGGAACCCACAUAACAAACACCCGUGAAGCGAAAGCUUUUGCUCUUCUAUCAGAAGAGGGAAUUUCUAAAGGUAUUCGUAGGGUAACUGCUGUGACUACCGAAUGUGCUUUUGAUGCAAUGAACGUGGCGUCCUCACUUGAAAAAGAAGUCGAGGAUGCAUCCAAAGCGGAGGGGAGUGCAUUGGAAAAGGUUAUCUCUCUUCUCUCGUUUCUCACAAUCUAAAAAUUUAUAAUAAAUCUUAUUCAUGUCAAACUUAAUGUGAUCAAUUUUGAAUGUUGACAGAAAGUUGCUGCUUUGAAAAGCCGGGUAGACUCGGCAAUUAUGCCAGCGGCCAAAAAGGCAGAUAUAAGGGCCAAGAUUGCUCUGCUUCAGGUAAUCUCUUUCAGCUCUACAUUGAGGAGCUUUUUUUCUGCAUCUACUUUGCAAAGAACCUUUGGCUUGUGUCUGGUAACAGAAGUAUUAAAGUGGAUAUAUUCUUUUUUUUUUAAAUUGCAGAAUGAAGUGAGGAAAGCUCAAAAGAAAAUAGCAGAGCAGAACCUGAAGAUAUCUGUGAAAGUAGCAACAGAGGCAGCAGAAUCUGCAGCAUCAGAUGGGAAGACAUUCUGCAUUAUCCAGCUUGAUGUAGGUCUUGAUGCAGCUGCCGUGCGAGAAGCUGUCUCCAAAGUUAUGGAAAAGAAGGUAAAUCUCCAUUUACUUCUACUAACUACUCUUCGAAAAGGUAAAGAAAGUUAAAUAAAAGUGUUGUUGGUGAAUCUUCUAGGGAAUGUCGAUAAUGGUGUUCAGCACAGAUGAAACGACCAACAAGGCGGUUGUGUGUGCAGGAGUUCCAGACAAAUCUGAUAAAUUCAAGCAAUUAGACGUUACUGAGUGGCUUACUACUGCAUUGGGUCCUCUGAAAGGGAGAUGCGGGAAAGGGAAAAGUGGUCUUGCAUCUGGACAGGUAUGUGUCUGGGUUUUAGGGAUCAUGUGCUAAUGGAUCUCAAUCUCAGUUCCGUCGGUGAAGUAUAUGGUGCAUAGAUUGACUCUUGAGCAUAUGUUGUUGUGGUCUCAGGGAACGGAUGCUUCUCAAGUGAACGCAGCUUUGGAUCUGGCUGCAUCAUUUGCAUCACUGAAACUCAACUGAUUGAUGUGGAGGUGAUUACAGAAUCUGUGUGGUCUGAACAAGCUUUACUCAUUUGAUACCAUUGUAUACCGUUUUACUCAUUUUAAGAUCUACUGUUUUCUCAUUUCUUGUGUCGAAUUCGUGGUACUUCUUAGUCGGUCAAACUUAGCAAUUGGUGGUACCUCUUUUGAGCCAAUCCGAUUAUGGUUCUACUGGUUUGGUUUUAUAUUUCAAUAAUUUAUGGAACAUAACAGCUGUUUACUCGGUUUUUGGGUUUGAUAUGGUUUCAGUUCAGAUUUUGUUUUUCUAAGAUAUUUUUGGUUUUUUGACCAAAAAAAAAGAUAUUUUUGGUUUCUAUUGUUUUAAUUUGAAUUUUGAGAUAAGAGUCGUAUUUGCAAGGAUGGAAAGUUGUAUUGAAUAAUGGAAAACAUAUGUAUAAGAUGAUUUAGAUAGUUUUUGUAUUGAACUAAAUUACUCUAAAUAGAUAAGGUAGGUUUUGGGACUAAAAUUAGACCAUGACAAUAUAUUAUGUUUUAUUUAAAAUUUUGUAAAGCAAUAUAUAACUGGUAUACUUUUGUCUCUCUCAAUGUUUCUUGUCUUCGUUCACAGUCUUCUUUCUCUUUAUUUUUUUUAAAUAUAAGUUUCAAAUGUUUCUAAAUCUUAGUUUAGAAAAGAAAAAUGAGCGAUUUUAAUACAAAAUUGCAAUUGAAACAAAAUGUCGUUUAAUGUUUAAUGUCAUAAACAUCUUAUAGUCGGUUAUUUCACAAGUUACUUGUUUAUCUUUACCAAAUAAGUGCCAUAUUUGUAAAACAUAAUUUUAGAGUAAUGUAAAUCCUAAAUAAUAAAUAACGGCAGUCAUUCGAUAAAAGAAAUAAUAUUCAAUUAAUAUAUAUAUAUAUAUAUAUAUAUAUAUUAGAUUAUCAUAUUGCUUUAAAUUUGAAUGAUAUAACACAUAAGUUUCAUUAAUCAGAUUCUUCAUGUCCAGUAUAAGUAAUGUUUUUUUAACAACGAUUAAGUAAUGUAUAUUUGUCAGGGCAAAUCUCUAAAAUAGCACCUUUCUAAGUUUAUAUCACAAAAAUAGCACUCAAAAACUAAAAUGACCAAAAUAGCACAUUUUUAAGUUUAUCCUUUGAAAAUUUUAAUUUUUUUAUUUUUCAAAAUUUGAAAUCUUAUCCCCAAAACGUCAUUUCUCAACUCUAAACCCUAAACCGUAAACUCUAAACCCUAAACCGUAAACUGUAAACCCUAAACCCUAAACUCUAAACCCUAAACUCUAAACCCUAAACCCUAAACUCUAAACCCUAAACCCUAAACCCUAAACCCUAAACUCUAAACCCUAAACCCUAAACCCUAAAUUCUAAACCCCAUCUUUUAACUCUAAACCCUAAGUUUGUGACUUUUGAUAAAACAUUGAGUGCUAUUUUUGUAACUUUUGAGUGCUAGUUUAGGAACAUAAACUUGAUUUAUUGCUAUUUUUGUCUUUUUCUCUAUUUGUUAUUCGAAAACCAANNNNNNNNNNNNNNNNNNNNNNNNNNNNNNNNNNNNNNNNNNNNNNNNNNNNNNNNNNNNNNNNNNNNNNNNNNNNNNNNNNNNNNNNNNNNNNNNNNNNAAAUGAAAAAAAAAGUAGGCACUAUAUAUAAGAGGGGGGGGGGGUUGAAUCUUUUUGUUGGUAAACGAAUUUUUCUUUGACUAAUGAAAAUAAAUAGUUUAAGGCCUCAGAAAAAAUAGAAACGAAACGUGAACCAACUAAACAUUUGCACAAAGGAGCAGUCGUAAUUAAAGGCUCACCAAUCAACUAUAUAAUCAAAUUAAUAAAACCUUACAGUUUACUUUAGUUUUUUAUUUAUUCUUAGAAACAACAGUUUGUAUUAUUUUGAGAAACAACCUUACAAUUUAUCUUCCAGCUUCAAAAAAAUAUUGUUAAUUUGCUUUAAUACAGUAGUUUAGUGCACAAACUUCUAUACAAAUACGUUAAGCACAAUCCACUAUUCCCUUUGUUUCCGAAAGAAAGAUUUUCUAGAGUAUUCACGCAUAUUAAGAAAACAAUUAAGUUUUUACAAUUAAACUUAUUAUUUAUUUUACUAUACAUUUUUCAAUAAAUAUCAACCAAUAGUAUUCAACCAAUUCAAAAUUUUCAAUUAAUGUUUCUUAAAAGUAUACAACUUUUCAACAUUUACUACUAAAAGUACUUUAAAAUUUUAGAAAAUCUAUCAUUUUGGAACAAAAAAUAAAUCUAGAAAAUCCUACUUUCAGGAACAGAGGGAGUAAAAGAUAUUGAUACCCUGCCAAAAUAAUCCAAUUAAUGCAAGGCUUCAAUCCCAUAAUCCGUUAAUGUAAGGCUUUAAAGCCACAAGAAUACAUGUACAUCUCAAACAUUCAACCAAAAAAGAUUGAUAAAGACGAUUUCCACAUUCAUUGUUUAUACCCCACUUAGCCGCGGAUACAUUCAUAGAACCGAAGAUCCGAACCAAUAAGAUUUAGUGCAGAUUUAAAUCGUAUCAAUUAUACUAGUGGAUCUUAUAUUCCAAAUACACUAAGGUGUAUCUCACAUCCUAGUGUGUGGGUGAAUCUUUGUCAUUCGUGGUGGUGCAGAAGACUUAUCUGUGCAGGUUCGGAAGCGUCACCAAAUUGGUUGUAGUGGCGAGUUCAAGCCGCUCUUUUGGUGGUUGCGGGAUUGCCAACUUGCGUUCAUGAUCGGAUAUUUGUGUGCUCAGUUUCUGUUUGUCUGUGGCCGGUUGGCGAGGCGGUAUAGCUUGCAGUGGCUCAUCCUUAGGUAUUGUUUCUUGUAACUCUUCCCUCAAUUUCUCGUCCUGUGCUUCAUCGCCAAUGGAGAUUAUAGGCCUUGACAAGCUCUCCGAGACCAGCUAUUUCAGGUGUUGAACAUGGAAGACCGACAUCCGAGGAAACAAGGUUAAACCCACCGUUUCCAGAAUCUGCGACAUUGAUUGAGAAUAAAAACUGAAUCAUUUGGAGAUUUUAGAAUAGUCCAGCGGAAUGUGUCUGUUUAGGUGGUUGAUGCGAAGUCAGUGCUAUAAUAUUUGAACUAGAUAAGCUUUGGUUGAAAUCAGAUUGUAAUCGAAAUUGUACUCCCGUUUUUGGGUUUUAUAUAAUAUUUCUAUAUUAGUAAAAAAUUGGUAUUAUAGAAAUAUAUCUUAGUGUUUAUCUCUAGUUAUUUAAGCUAUUACGUGGAAAAUAACAUUUUAAAACAAUGUUAAAAUAGUUGAAACAAAAAAUGCAUUUUUUACCAUGUAUAUUUUUUGUGCUGAAAUUUGAAUUUAAAAGAAUAAUCUACUUCUUGGUAAAAAAAUAAGAAUAAUCUACUUGAGAAAAAAUAUGAACUGUCGUGUAGUAAACCAUGCCUCCAUCGUAUGAUGUCCGCUAUUUACCCGGGACUGAUGAAUAACGAUUUUUUUUUGUCAACUAGAGGACCAUGCCACUUAUGAGUGUACAUGUAUUUUCUUGCAUUUUAAUUUGAAAUCCCUUUUUCAAAAAAAAAAAACUAGAGGACCAUGCCUCCAAGCCUCUCAUCGGUGUAGCAAACCAUGCCUCCAAGCCUCUCAUCGCUGCUACUGCACCAGACAUUUCUGAUGCUGAACGAUAAGGACCCGUUUAUCUAUCAAUUUGAACUUGGAAAAUAGCAUCCCUUUCUGAAAAAAAAAUUAUAUAUCACAUGCCAACAAAAGGGAAUGUAGGUCUUGUUCAAAGAAUGAAUGAUAACACAACAAGCAGUCUUUCUCUCUCCUUUCGCUCUGUCUUCUCUCUAGAUCUGUCACAGAGGAAGGAUUGAAAGGAGACUUCUACCGGAGUUUCCAACUCAUUUCCGGUUAGUAAGCGCGAUUCUAGGAAGCGGUGUGUCUCUUUAUACCGCUAUCGCCAGCUUCUGUUUCCGGGAAACGGUGGCUCUGAUAGCACCGAUUCCGCCAGCUUUCGUCUCCGGGAAAGCGGUGGCUCUGAUAGCACCGUUCUUUCGCCGGCUCUUCUCCGGUUUGUUCCGGUGAUAAGUUCUCGAUCUACGCUUUUGCUCUUCCCCUGUCCAAUCGACUCUCGAUCUGAAAAUCUGUAUGAUUUUUCGGAUCGAUCGAAGAUGAUUGUUGUUGUUUUUUAAAGCAUGGAUCGAUGGUGUUUGUGUUCUAUAGGUCUUCAUCGGUUUUGGGCUCCAUGGUUGAGUCGAGUCGCGCUUUUGCUCUGAUCCCGGCAGAAGCUGUUGUAUUCUUCCGGUGGUGGUCCGAUUAUUGCGGCGGCGGAGUAUGCAUGCCGAUGAAGAGCUUUGUGACGUGGUCAAGACGUGGCGGCCUGGUGACGCGUGUCCCUCGCAGGGAGGAUUUCGACACGUGUACUCUUCACGCAACUCGCGGGGAGAAAGAGGCGCCUUUGUGGGUUAGAUCGUUUGGGCUUAGGGCCCAAUAAGUUUUACGGUUUCGGUAGCCCUACUGUGUUUGGGCCUCAUAGUUGUACUCCUGUUUACGUUUUUGGGCUUGGUCUUCUGGCUUUGUCUUUAAUAAACUUUAGAUGGAAAAAAAAAAAAAAGGUCUUGUUCAAAGAUCACGAAUGUAACGUAUAUAUAUGUAUCAUUUUUUUGUCGGCAUAUUAUUAUACGUUUUGUGUUAAAGACUGGGGUCAAGCCAGAAGUGUUUUAGUGUCAAAAUAAUGCAAAAGAUAUAGUAAAAUUGUUUAAAUGACUUUUGAAAAAGGCAGUAGUACAUCUGUACAUGUGUACAGCUCCUGUAUAACACAAAGGACACGCGUUGUAGGCUUAACGCUACAUUUGCUACUAGGUACACUGCGAAACAAUAUCAGUAAAUAUAUUUAUUUUUUGUUUAAAAGGGAUCAGUAAUACUAAAUAUAUUUAUCAAGAGUGAAUUACUUUGUGAUUAUUUCAUAAGUAGUAUUAUUUAAACUAUUAGUACCAAGACCUAUCGCCAUAAACGUUUUCAGAGUAACUGUAUGAUUUUUCUUUCUUUUCUUUUGGUAAAAAAUGUAUGAUUCUUUUUGAUCGACCUACAACUAUUUCAGAUUUACCGUUCACCUAGUAUUAACUCUUAAUAACCUUUAACGUAAUUAAAUACCUCGGUAGAGGCUUCUUGAUAAAGAAAACGAUAAAACUGAUAUAACAUUACAUGAACUGAAAACACUUGCGUUACAAAAAAAAAACAAAACACACAAACAGAGACUUAUUCGAAAACAUAUUACACACACAUGUACGGUACGACAUGGUGUUGUACGGAAUAUUAGAUAGAAAGGAACAACACCAGACGAUGGAUAUGGUAGAUUUGAGUUAUGAGAAUCGAUCGAUAGAUCAGCAAUGUCUGGUGCAGUAGCAACGACGACGGAAACCACGGCAUUUACCUCCGCCAAA